UUAGAAUAUCCUAGUGGAUGGCAUGUUGAGUUUUUUUGUUCCAAGUUGGAUCUGCUCUAUGUUCCAGUGUUCUUAAAGCCAGAAUUAGUACAACUGUUUUCAGCGAACUAUUUCAUAUUUUGUCAUGGCUGUUAUUGAAUACCCAAGCUAGUUUGCUACAGAUGUGCCUCUUGCCUUAUUCAUAUGUGAUAUGUUGCCCGGUUCUCUGUUUUUACUUUUGACUUGUGCGCUUGUGGUUAUUUUUUAAGAAUUGAGUAGGGUAAGCAUAUCUUUUGAAUCUAAGUGAAACUGUUAAUUAAAUAAGAAUAAAAUGAAGUGCUGUGGUACCUUCAUUGUUGGUCAGUUGCUCUGUAUUUGAUAGCCUAGACGGCUAAAAGUUCAAUAAUAAAAGUUUUGAAGGCUGUAGCACAUAAAAUAUUUCUUUUUGAAUGCUGGCAAAGCUUGCCAAAUUCAUUGAUCAGAAGAGAAUAACAAGGUACAAAAGAGGUCAAGUGUCCGAAAAACAAGACACUCAGCGCAAGAGGAAGGGAAAAUAAGGAGAAAGAAAAGAGAAGAGAGCUGGGGCGGGGGCUCAGCCCGGAUCAAAGGGGAUCCCAGCACCUGCCACAAUCUGAUCUCGUCCCUAAUCUUACGUCUGAAGCUUUCCAAAGUCAAGGAUUCCUUCUGGAAGAUCCGUCGAUUCCGCUACUUAGUGUCUCCUGUUCAAUUCGCCGGGCAGAGAGCAGGCAUAUCUGCAAGCGUGGCGAAGGACUCCCAAAUGGUUCUGGACCAGGGGCACUCGAUGAGAAGAUGAGAUGGGGUUUCUAAACUCCGCUCAUGGUUGUACUCCUGGUUUUGCUCAAACCUCCAGGCAAUGGUGUCAGCUUGGCCCUCAACCAGUUCUACAUUAUCGAGCAUUGCAGCUAGUUCAGUGAGCUCCGAGACCAUAUGCUCAGAGAGUCCCCUAGAUAGGUCGCGCGACUGAGCGGUUCUUCCGCGUCGAGACCUGGAAUAGGUAUGGGGCAAUCGUCUUUGGGCACGAUCCAUGCAGCCAGCGGUCAUUCCAGAAAUUUGCCUUUCGGCCGUCUUCGAUUGUUAUAUUUGUUGCCAUCGCGAAGAGUUGCCUGUCCUCAUUGUAGCAGGGUAGAGGGGAGCUAACCCACGGUCGCGGCGGACGUUGCCAUGCCAACGAAAGCCAGCGUAGCCUAAGAGCCUGACCAAAUAUAGCAAUGUCAAGGACCCCCAAGCCACCAAGGUGUUUGGGGCGAGCACAUAAAAUAUUUGAACUUGUAUUUUGUUAUAGAGAAAAGGCACAACCUGAGCCUGACUGCUGCCACUCUCGUGUUUGAAGAGAAGCUGAUAGGAUAACAGUAUGUGAUUUAGAUGUAGCUCUAUGAAGUAGUAGCUUGGUACAGAUCGAUUACACGGAGCGGCGCUCGAAUGGGGAAAACAUGAAGAACUAGGGUUCGGUAAGGGAAGGCAGCAGCCGCCGGUUCGUUCGUGAUCCUCUGGAUGGUGAUGCCGAGUCGCUCGCCUGCUUUAGUAGCCGCGCGGUGCGGGCUUCAGUUAGCGCACGUCGGCCCAAUGACGAGCGGGUUGGGCCUCCUGGCCUGUGUGGACCGUUGGGCAGGGACGACGUGGCCGUGGCUGUGGCUGCUUGGUGGGUCCGGGUUGCCAGCACCGUUGACACCCCCCUUUCCUUGAAACGAGGCUUGUCCCCAAGCCUCCGCAAGCGGGAACCGUUCCUAAAGACUGGCUUUGUCCUCCCAAGUGUCUCCCAGUGUGUCUGAGUUGGACCAGCGAACUUUAACUUGUUCGCGCAUCUUGCCCUUGGACAUUCUCCACCUUGACUGAAUGAUAGACACAGGCACUGCCAGCUCAUCAGUGCAAUGUGGAAGUUGAGGUUCAACAGACGUACAAGAGUUCAGCACCCGGCGCAGCAGCGAGACGUGAAACACAGGGUGAAUAGUUGCUUGCGGUGGGAGUUGCAGCUUGUAGGCCACCUCAUUGAUCUUGGCCACUAUCAGGAAUGGCCCGUAGUACUUGUACGCCAACUUGUGAUUCGCUCUUGGUGCCACGGAGGUUUGUAUGUAAGGUUGUAGUUUCAGGAAAACUUGGUCCCCUACCUCAAAUGCCCGAAAUGAUCGUUUCUUGUCAGCUUGGUUCUUCAUGAGCUGUCUGGCUCUGUUCAAAUGCUGCUGUAGUAGUUCCUGAACAGUAUCCCGCUCCUCUAUCCAAGAAUUGAGAGCUGGUACCGAGCCGACGUUCUCUGCUAUGAUCCCCCAGUGCCUAGGCUCAUAUCCGAACAUGGCUUUGAAAGGAGUCAUUCCGAUGGCCGAAUGAGGAGAGUUGUUAUACCAAAAUUGAACAAGAGGGAUCCAGAAACUCCAUCGCCUUGGGCACGCUUGCGUGAAGCAACGCAAGAAGGUUUCCACACAUUGGUUGACCCUCUCGGUCUGGCCAUCCGUUUGAGGAUGAUUGGCUAUGCUGAGCCUGAGUUGCGUGCCUGCUGCUUUGAACAUUUCUUGCCAAAAGUGACUAGUGAAAACCGGAUCCCGAUCGGACACAAUAGCUCCUGGAAGGCCAUGUAUUUUGUAUACUUGCUGGAUGAACAAUUGAGCUACUGAUGCCGCUGUAUACGGAUGAGCUAAGGGAAGGAAGUAACUGAACUUCGUUCUUUUGUCAACUAUUACCAGCAGGCAAUUGAAACGGCUGGAUUGAGGGAGACCUUCUACAAAAUCCAUGGAAAUCAUGUCCCAUGGUUUGGAAGGAAUGGGCAGAGGUAGCAGGAGACCUGGUGCAGCCACUCUGUCUGGUUUGUCCUGUUGGCAGACUGUGCAGCACUGCACGUAGUGGUUGACUUGUGCCUUCAUUUUAGGCCACGCGAACAGGCGUCUGAUGCGACUGUACAUCACCGGGAAACCUGAGUGACCUCCCAUUGGACUGUCAUGAAAGGCUUGGAUGAUGCGUUGUUGAAUGUGUGUUCCCCCUCCCAGCCAGAUCCUCCCCCUGAACCUGAGAAUGCCUUGUUGCAGUUGAAACCUGCCCUUGGGAUCGUCACGCACCGCUAACUGCUCCAAAAGCUUCUGGGCAUGCGGGUUAUUGUUGUAGCUGCUGAGUACAUCCUCCAGCCAGCUGGGUUGACAAGACGUAACCAACACCAGUGCUUCUGCUGGAUCCGCCCGCGAUAAGGCGUCUGCACCACUGUUGUCAGUCCCCUUCUUAUACUUGAUGCAGUAUCUGAGUCCCAGGAGCUUCGUAAACGCCUUCUGCUGCCACGGGGUAUUCAGCCUUUGCUCUUCCAGGUGGGUGAGGCUUUUUUGAUCUGUAUAGAUGACGAAUUCUGAAUGUUGCAGAUAAGGCCGCCACUGUUCCACCGCUACAAUGAUGGCCAAGUAUUCCUUUUCGUACGUCGACAGACCUUGGUACCUUGGGCUCAGAGCCUUGCUCAUGAAAGCUAUGGGGUGCCCUUGCUGCUGUAGGAUUGCCCCGAUGCCACGAUCGCACGCGUCUGUAUCCACAGUGAACGGCUGUUCAAAGUUGGGCAGCGCCAAAACUGGGGCUGAAAUGAGUUGCUUUUUCAGCACCUGGAAUGCCGUUUCGGUGAUGGAAGUCCAGAGGAAGGGAACUCCUUUCUUCAACAAGUUGAACAGUGGCUUUGCAAUUACUCCAAAAUUCUGGACAAAACGGUGAUAGUAACCCGCGAGGCCCAAGAAACUGCGGACGCCCUUGACAUUUUGUGGAGAGGUCCAGUUAGCCACUGCUGCUAUCUUGGUUGGAUCUGUGGCUACCCCAUGUGCGCUGAUGACAUGCCCCAGAUAAGAGACUUUGCUUUGUCCAAAAGCACACUUGCUAUAUUUUACUUUCCAUUGGUCUUUGCGCAGCAACUCCAGCACCUGCCUGACAUGGCGUUUGUGCUCCUCCAAAGAAGUACUGAAGAUCAAGAUGUCAUCGAAGAAACACAGGACACAGACUCUUAUGUCUGGCUUAAGAGUUGUGGUUAAUCCCUCAAUGAAAGUAGGUGCCCCCCUGCUAAUCCAAAUGAUAGCACCUUGAACUCAAAAUGUCCCUGGUGGGUAGAGAAAGCUGUCUUGUACUCCUUCGCCGGCGCGAGUCUGAUCUGAUGGUACCCCGCGCGUAAAUCCAACUUGGAAAACCAGGCUACUCCGUGUAAUUCGUCCAACAGUUCCGCGAUAACUGGGACAGGGAAUUUGCCCACCACAGUGAUGGCAUUCAGCUGUCUGUAGUCGAUGCAUAGACGCCAGGUUCCGUCUUUCUUCUUCACCAAAAUGACAGGAGAGGAAAAAGGGCUGUUGCUGCAUUGGAUAACACCAGAUUUCAGUAGGGCUUCGACUUGAGCUUCAAUUUCUGUUUUCUGUUCUGGUUUGUAACGAUAUUGUCUGACAUUGACUGGCCUUGCUCCUGGAAUCAGGGGAAUACGAUGAUCGCAUGCCCUCCUCGGUGGAAGUCCCACUGGUUCUUCGAACACGUCCGAGAACUGAUCAACAAUUUCCUGAAUGCAAUCUGGAGUUGGCUCCAGAUCUUCUUGUGGAGGGGCUACCGCACACAGGUGUAUGAUAUGAGAGAUUGACCCUUUGUUGCACAGGUUUUGCAGCUGCAGACUGUUGAUGGAAUGGCAAUCUGUGGAAGUUGCAUCGUGCCCCACUAGCCGAAGCGGACCUGCUGGUGUUGGGAUCUCAAUGACGCGCGCACGCCAGUCCACCUGCAUCGGGCUGUGCUCCUCUAACCAAUCCAUGCCCAAAAUGACGUCGUAUGUGCCCAGAGCCAGAACCUUUAGAUCCGUGUAGAACUCGUGUCCUUGAGCAUACCAAGCACACUGCGGGGCAAUUUCCUUGCAGACUAAUUCCCCUCCGCCAGCCACUCGCACCCAGCUGGGCUUGUCCAUUGGCUGGGUCCCUGAAAGCUUACUUGCCAGAUUCUCAUUAAUGAAAGAAUUGGAGCUGCCUGAAUCGACCAACAUGAGUACUUCGUGCCCCUGAAGCCAAGCUCGAAGCUGAAAAGCCCUGGCUGACACACCUCCUGUAACAGCAGAAACUGAAAUGGCCAUAGCAGUCUCUUGCAGCCCCUCUUCUGAACUCACUUGGGUGUCAACGAAACUGUCGAUGCCAAACAUGUCCAGUAGCUCUUCUACAACGUGCAACUGCACUGAGGUGGGGCACACAUGGUCGUUCCCCCACUUCUCGCCGCACUUGAAACAUAAGCCACGGGCUCUUCUAUAUUCAUGCAGAGUCUUGAGCUUGGAGGCCUCCGCGCGCGCUGCGUCAGUGCCACGGAGAUCUGUUGCGAUCAUGGCUGGGGGAUGACGCAAAGGAGGAGCCGGAAGUGGUAGCGGAACACCGUCACGUUGUGGCAGCUCCUGGGUGUGCACUGGUGGGGUACGCGUGCCAUCGGCCACUUCUUCUUGAAGCAGCGCCAGAGCGCUUGCCGUAUCCAGAUCGGGUGGGCGCUGCACCAUUACCACCGCUCGUAUGUCCGUCCGCAGGCCCUCGACAAAACGAGUCAAGAAAUAGUAAGGAUGCAUAGUAUCUGAAUAUGAACUGAGAUGAUUGAUAAUAACUUCAAACUUUUCAAUAUAAUCUGCUAUAGAAGAAGUUUGGUGGAUGGUGAAAAACUGCCUACUGAGCAUCUGUUGCCUAUCCCUACCGAAACGCGUACCUAACAGAGACGUGAACGCAUCCCAAUCGAACUUGUUGAGACGCUUCUGAAUAGAUUGAAGCCAUAUGGCCGCUGACCCAGAGAAGUUGAGGGCGGCCAUGGGAACCCAGAAGGAUUGCGUUAUCCCAAACAUGCUAAAGUACUGCUCACACAAGGUUUUCCAUAGGUUCAGAUUUUCGCCCGAUAAUUGGGGGAAACGAUGGAGGGAUGCGCUUGGCCCAAACCAGUGAGCAUUUGACUCGCAUGUGUAAACGGUGACAGAGGGAUGGGGGAAUUCAGAAGGGUGGUCUGACCUUUUGCCGGGGGCGGAGGCGGCGUCUCCAGUGACACCACCGGAUGCCCCCAUUCGAGAGAGAACACGCCGUGGCCAUCGGACCCUUGCUGGUUGUUCGUUGCGCCUGCUGAGGUGCUGAGGUGGUCCCCCAGCGGCUGCAACAUGGGUGCACGCUGGAUCUCCUCUCCUUUGGGUGAUGUAGGCGGCGCGGCUUGGAGGGCGGACAUCGCGUCACUGAGAUCCGCGACGGGCGCUCCAGAUCUGGGCGCCAGCUGAGGAGAUCGUCGAUUUUUGUUGCGGUCGACUACUGCGCCUUGGUGAGACCGUCGAUGGCGGCCUCGAUCUUCGUCUCGAACCGAGUGAGGAAGGCGGAAACUCCUGGAUCCAUGGCGUCGCGGGCUUGGCGGAGGCCGCGCGUCUCGAUGAGAUGCGCCAGGACGAAGCAGAGCGGCGAGGAGUGGUGGCUGGCGUCUCUGAUACCAGAUGAUAGGAUAACAGUAUGUGAUUUACAUGUAGCUCUCUAAAGUAGUAGCUUGGUACAGAUCGAUUACAAGGAGCGGCGCUCGAAUGGGGAAAACAGGAAGAACUAGGGUUCGGUAAGGGAAGGCAGCAGACGCCGGUUCGUUCGUGAUCCUCUGGAUGGUGAUGCCGAGUCGCUCGCCUGCUUUGGUAGGCGUGCGGUGCGGGCUUCAGUUAGCCCACGUCGGCCCAAUGACGAGCGGGUUGGGCCUCCUGGCCCGUGUGGACCGCUGGGUAGGGACGACGUGGCCGCGGCUGUGGCUGCUUGGUGGGUCCGGGUUGCCAGCACCGUUGACAGAAGCGCAGGCCAAGAGCUUCGACAGCGCUGCUUGCCGGUGCAUGCGACAUUUGUCCAUCCGCCUCCUCCACUAAACGUACUUGGUUGCUGAGAAAUCUACUAUGCCAACACUUUAUUCAUUUGCAGCACCAUUAAGGACCUCUUGUCUGCCUCCUCCGCUAAACAUACCCGGUUGCUGACAAACCUACUCCUGUGCUCGCUAUUUAAACCUUAGGACGGCCUCUUGUUUGAACAGAAGGGGGAGAUCACCACCAUUGUGGCCGGCUGACAGGAGGCCGGCGCUGCGGAGGUGCCAAGCCCACUAUUUAAACCUUAGGACGACCUCUUGUCUGAACAGAAAGGGGAGAUCACCACCAUUGUGGCCGGCUGGCAGGAGGUCGACGCUGCGGAGGUGCCAAGCCCGCUAUUUAAACCUUAGGACGGCCUCUUGUUUGAACAGAAGGGGGAGAUCACCACCAUUGUGGCCGGCUGGCAGGAGGCCGGCGCUGCGGAGGGCAGAGGCGGUUGACGAUGAGCCGGCGGCUUCAUCGGCCAAUGUCGGCAUCACCAUGGGCAAGGCCCAUGCUCACUACACCGACAUGGUGCUGGAGGAGUGGGAGUUCGGUAGGCGCUGGCCGAACAGGCCUACAAUCCUUCACCAACCAAUGCCGACAUCACCAUUGGCAAGGCCCAUGCUCACUACACCGACAUGGUGAUGGAGGAGUGGGAGGCCGUGUUCCGGCAGGCACAGGUCGAACAGGCCUACAAUCUCCGCCUCCUCGACGAGUACCGGCGCACGGAUGAGUUACCCACCCCUGGUGCGGCCAUCACGGCGGACAUGGACAUGGGUGAGCAGGAGGCUCUGCUUGUCUCCUACUGCGCCGCCCGUGACAUUUGCCGCGACUACUGGCUCUACCGCCAGUAUCAGGCAGACUUAAAGGCCACCUACAAGGGGAUCGACGAGGUGGCGGAUGAAGUUUACGGGCCCGAUGACGGUGAUGAGGAGGCUGGUGGCUCCGUGGCCGCGGCAUGGUGCAACAACGACAAUCUAGGCACGUCCGCGGGCGCCGCCGACAGCAAGGCAGAUUAGAGCAUGGGAAGGAGCCGACGCUUGUGUCCCAGGAAGGCCACCGCUCUUGUCCUCCCGCUAAAGCUACGCCUCGUGGCCUCAUCCUCGUCAGGUGAUUAGCCGCUUGCAGGCUGGAGAGGCGGAGCUGGAGCUUCACUUCCCGGUGCUCAUAGACGGCCGGAUAUGGGGAACGGGCAUCGACGGUAAUUUAGUCAGACUAGGUUAGAGUACGGUUUAGUUUGAAAAAUAUAUAUAAAAUGCAACGAAUUUUGUCCGAUUUGUAUGAAAAUCAACCGUUUUCCAUGAAUUUUGUCCGAAUUGCUUAAUGCAGAUUUGAAAUGUAUGCAGAUAGCAUUGGAUGGCCCGUUAGAGGACUGUCCCCCUUUCCGUAGACGGACGCAAUGUCUCGUUUCUGGGUCAGCGUCGAAGAUGCCCUAACAGUUCAAAGGAACAUGCGCACCGAGGCCUCGCCAUAGACUAUGACAUACAUAGGGAAAGCUAAGGUGUUGAAGGACUUGGAACCAAAUGUCUUCACGUCCCACUUGGACUAGGAAAGAGCAGUAAAUGCAGACCAACAAGUUUGGGCCAAACUUUGAUGAAGCACCAACGCCGCCAUUGGCUCAGCCACAACAUAGAACCAAAUAGGGGACAGGACCCUGAUCCCCUCUUGCCCAGAAUCGAGGGUGGCAACCCACCAGCGGCACCGACAGGGACCCUCCACUCUUGCAGCCAUGAGACCGGUAGGAAUUGAAUCCGAGCCGCCAUUCGUCACUUCUACUUGUGAACUGCGUUGGGAUUUCCUCAAAGAGGAGAGGAUGAUGCAGUACAGUAGAGGUAAGUAUUUUCCUCAGUUAAAAAUCAAGUUUAUGAAUCUAGUAGGAGAAGCAAGCAACACCUCGUUAGCAGUACUUGCACACAAACAACAAAUCCUUACAACCCAACACGAACAAGGGGUUGUCAAUCUCUUGACGGUUACGAGCAAGGUUAAAUUGUAUGGUGUUUGAUAGAUAGAUCGGACAAAAAUAUAAAUUAAAAUAAAUAAAAGAAAAACAUAGCAAGGUAUUUUUGGUUUUGUAUAUGAUAAAGAUAGACCCCAGGGGUCAUAGUUUUCACUAGAGGCUUCUCUCUUGAAAAUAACAUAUGGUGGAUAAACAAAUUACCGUUGGGCAACUGAUAGAAAAGCAAAUAAUUAUGACGAUAUCCAAGGCAAUGAUCAUGUAUAUAUGCAUCACGUCCGAGACAAGUAGACCGACUCCUGCCUGCAUCUACUACUAUUACUCCACACAUCGGCUGCUAUCCAGCUUGGAUCUACUGUAUUAAGUUCAUAAAAAAUGGAGUAACACCUUAAGCAAGAUUACAUGACGUAGACAAGAUAAACUCACAUAUGAAUAAACCCCAUAUUUUUACCCUUAAUAACAAUGAUACAUACGUGUCAUGUCCCCUUCUGUUACUGGGAUUGAGCACCACAAAAUCAAACCCAUUACAAAGCACCUCUCCCAUUGCAAGAUAAAUCAAUCUAGUUGGCCAAACCAAAUCAACAAAUCAAAGAUAAAUAUGAAGCUAUAACAAUCAUCAUAAAAGAGUUCAGAGAAAACUCAAAUAAUAUUCAUGGAUAGAUCUGAUCAUAAACUCAUAAUUCAUCAGAUCCCAACAAACACACCGCAAAAAGUGAUUGCAUCAGAUAGAACUCCAAGAACAUCGAGGAGAACAUUGUCUUGAAGAUCAAAUAGAGAAGAAGCCAUCUAGCUACUAACUAUGGACCCAUAGAUUUGUGGUAAACUACACAAGCAUCAUCAGAAGGGCAGCAAGGAUGAUGUAGAGCCCCUCCGUGACCGAAUUCCCCUCCAGCAGAGUGCCCGAAAAGGCCUCCAGAUGGGAUCUGUCAAGAAUAGGGGUGUGUUUGGUUUGAGCCCCAGCUAGCCCUACCAAAAUUUUGGUAUGACCAAAUCAAGGGCAUGACCAAUAUAUUGGUAAGUAGUUCUUGUUUGGAUUGUAGCCCAGUUGCUGUCCAAAAAUUUGGCAAGACUUCAGUUUAGUUUGCACCACUGACCAGAAUGACUACACUAGACUUUGGAAUACUUCACACGUCUAGCAUCUAAAUAAAAUCUAAGAUACAUUUCAAGAGAAAAAGAAAUAUGCUUGCCAACAAAGUCACACGAGACAGCCAGAGCAGGAAGUUUUUAGUACAGUGGUCCUCGCGCAGCGCCGGAAAAUAUCACGCUGCAUGCACUUUGUUUUUUUAACAGCAAAAACUGCAUGCCCUCACUAAUCGUUGUGACUAAAACGAUUAAUUACAUGCCAAAAGAUGCAAAAUGCACGACUGCAUGCACCGCAUCAGUAACAUUACAUGGGGCCCACCAGGAAUUAGAGGACAAAGUCACGAUGCCAAUUUAUUGGCGGAGCUUUUCUCCGCCCACGACUCGCCCACGUGUUGGUGCGAUUUACAGGGGCACGCGACGGUUGUGCUGGGCACGCCAUUUUUUUGGUACUGAUCCAAAUAGCUACCAAAUGUCAUGGGCUAGCCAAUUUUUUGGUGUGGUCAGGUUUGGUGGUCAUCCAAACACACCCUAGAAACUUGCGGUGGCGGAAAAAGUAUUUCGUGGACUCCCCUAUUGGUGAUGUGAACUGGGGACCCGAUCUUUCGAUGAGAGGGAGAUAACUACGAUUUUGGGUGGGACUUGACCCUCACGAUCCGGCUACCAAUCGUAUAGGGAGAACCGUACACGACUGAUAUCCACGACAAUCGCUGAACCAACUCCACGGCGUUAUCGACCAAGCCAACGGCGCGAUCGACCUAUCCAUGAAAGAUUUUUCCUGCAAGCAAAUCGAAGAACAUGCAAGAAAAUAAUAGCCAAGCAAUCUCAAAAUUGCGAAUAUGCUAGAUGGGAUUAAUCUCACAAGAUGUGGUUCCGAUAGGAUGUCUUGACGAUCGCACUAGCCGCUACGAGCGAAGACAAAUAAAAGUAGCAAUAUAGCUAAACUUCUCUAAACAAAACCCGAGUCUAAACCCUAACAAACGCUAACUAUUUAUUGAAUACGGCGCCGUGGUUGUCGGUCGGUACUGCGCGCUGUCGUGUCCAAUGUGGACUCCUUCAGGUAAGGCCGAAUCUAAUUGAUGCGAUGGGCCGACGUGUAAUUCCGAAGCAGCCAAAAAUAUCGAGGGACACAUGGCCUAUUCUGGUCCAUGAAAUCUAAUCCUUCUUUGCUUCUCUUGCACUUGUUAGUUGUAGACGUAGCAUGCAUGAUGGAUGGUUCGCUUGAGCCCAUGCAUGAAAUUAGCACAACUGCUUGUAGAUUCAAGACAGAAUGAUUUUCAUCUUCUAACUCUUUAUCACUUUCUCUCCUGAGUACAAGAAAAUUGACACAUGAGUGUAACAUCAUAUUCUCAUUAGUUAAAUUGUAAGUACAAAGGAGCGAUAGAACCUGGUUAUUUAUUUGUCUCGCACGCGCUCUAGUCAUAGGUCCAGAUGCAACUAUGUCAACGAUGUCUCGUGUAAUAUUUGUAGAUGUAUUUAUGGUAUCUAUGUCCACAUCAUCCCCCCUUUCUUAAAAACAAAGCCGCCCUCGGCUUUUAUUUAUCUGAAACACAUCAUAGAACAACACAAAAAUAGAUGCAACGUAUAUAGGCUGUUCCGAAGGCGUUAUGUCAGGAGGGUGAAAUAAAUUUGUAAUAACACCAUUAGGAAAAUCAUGAAAAGUGUUAUCCCACACAAAGUCUAUGUAUGAAUUAUGGAAACGCAAAUGAACUAUUUGGGCACGCAGUAUGUCCCUCUCAUAGGUUGGGACAGUCAACGAAAAAAUUCCAGAAUUGAUAGCAAGCAUAUUGUGUGUAGUACGGUCCGUUGAUUUAACUUUCUCAUCAUUUAUGAUCUCAUCAGGAGUCAUAGGAAGCAAGUUGAUGGUUUUUCCUUUGAACACAAGAGUAUAUGAAUUUGUUCUACCAUGACGAGUAACACUAUUAUCAUAUUGCCAAGGUCGACCUAACAAUAAAGAACAAGCUUGCAUAGGUACAACAUCACAGUCAACGUAAUCAUGAUAUGAACCAAGUGUAAAUUGUACUCGCACACGACAUGUUACCUUCAACUUACCAUAGUCGUUGAACCAUUGGAUGUAAUAUGGAUGGGGAUGUCUCGUAGUGAUGAGGGAAAGCUUCUCUACCAUCUCCAUACUCGCCAAAUUAUUGCAGCUUCCACCAUCAAUAAUCACACGAAUGGAAUGCCCUUUGACAACAAACUUAGUUUGAAAAAGAUUAUGGCGUUGAGGCAUCUCAUCAUGCCCCACCUGGGCACUAAGUACUCGCAUGGUUACAAGGCUUGGGUACUGAUCGGCCAUCUCAGCAUUAAUAUGUAUCUCCUCCGUGUCAUGCUCCUUAGUGUCAUCUGCAUUAUUAGUGGCAAGCAUAGCACGCGUAUCUUCAUCCAAAUCACUAGCAGAGGAGUACUCACCAUCUUCUCGCACAAUGAAAGCACGUUUAUUUGGGCAAUCCUUCAUCAAGUGCCCGCCACCUUUGCAUAUAUGACACUUCAUGUCUCUUGUGCGUCCGGACGAAGUGGUGGGUGCUUGAGAAAUUGCUCUCGAUGCCGCAGAGGAUUGUGGAGCUGAUUUCAAACUUGUUGGGAGUGCACCACUGUUCGAGAUAUGUGGUGUUGCCUCGGUAGUGGGUGGGAUAGUUGGAGAGUGUGUCCAUGAUGAGUGAUGACCUGCAGAAAAAUUACCUCGUCCCUUGUUGUGUCGUCCCUGUACUUCCCUUUCAGCUUUACAAGCAAAAUGAAACAAACGAGUAAUAGAAUUGUACUCCUUAUAGUCCAAUAUAUCCUGAAUAUCACGAUUCAAACCACCUAAAAAUCUAGCCAUCAUAGCAUCGUCGGUUUCAACCAAUCCACAUCGCACUAAGCCAGUUUGCAAUUCUUGAUAAUAAUCCUCUACAGAACUACUACCUUGUUUUAAACGUUGCAAUUCAUUGAGUUUAUCACGAGCAUAAUAUGAAGGAACAUAACGUUGUCGCAUAGCUCGUUUUAAGGCAUCCCAAGUAGUAGGUAUAUUAUUUGCAUUAAUACGACAAUAUUCACUCCACCACAUAGAAGCAAAGUUUGUAAAUUCACUAGUGGUUGCCCUAACUCUUUGGUUCUCAGGAAUAUCAUGACAUGCAAAUUUUUGUUCAACAGAAAGUUCCCAGUCAAGAUAAACAUCUGGAUUAUAUUUACCAUUGAAAGUAGACAUAGUAAAUUUGAUUUUGGCACUAGAGUGUUCAUAAUCUCUAACAUCAUACCUGGGUUGACCUCGUACCACACCAUGACGGUUGAAACGUAGUUGUCGAUGAGCAUGGUCAUUGUGGUGGUUGACCAUUUGGUCGUCUUUGGUGUCACUAGAAUAAUCCUCGUAGUUGUCCCCAUGUCGCUCGUGGACGCGAGGAGGAAUUUGUGGGUGCUGGUUUAUGGUGGCAACAUCGGUGACAAUAGCGGGGUGUUGUGGAUGACGCAUGGGCACACGUCGAGCUCGCGAAGUAGCGGCAACUCCCGUGGAAUUGUGAGGAACAUCAUUAUUGUUGACGGGGGGUGUAGUCCGCAACUCGUCCAAACGUAACAAGAUGUCCUGUAGUUGUGUGUUGGCAACACCUUGUGCAUCUUCAAUGGCCUUGAGCCUCUCUUCUGCCACAAUCUGAACACCCUCAAGUUGGGCGAGCCGCUCGCUGGUGAAUUUCACAUCCACGGUGAGGCCCUCAAGUGUGGGUUGAUCCUGUGCCAUUGUUAGCGAAAGAGAAAAAAACACAGUGUAUAAUCCCUAUCAACUAGUAGGACGUGGUGAAGAAAAAUCACUCACACUCAAGCUUAGUAUCAAAUUCUUACUUGUUCUUACCAAUGCAACAAGUGGCGAUUGGUGCGUUGGUGUUGACUUCAAACAACCGAUGAAGAUUGGAUGGAGCGAUAACCAGGAAUCAGUAGUGUCGGGACCUGUACUUAUUGGUAGGAAAAAGUGUAGCUUGGCAAAGGUUUCUCAACUCACAAUAUCAGUGGCACAAUUUAGCAAAAAGCAAUCCAAGUUGAAUAAUUGCUCAAACUCUUAACUAGUGCUGGCAGUCGACUAGCAAGAGAGAAAACAAUCUAAGCCCAGAUACUAAAUCAAAUGAGGGAAAAUCGAUGAAAAUAUGAUAGCUCUAAGUAGCUAGAUAUAAGUGAGGUAUAUCCGCAAUGUAUGACAAAGCUCGAAAAUAUAUGAUAGAUGGAGUGGCGAUCAAGUAGCAGCAAAAAUAAUAUAUGCUAGUCCAGAAGAGAACAAAACAGCCCAGAAUAGAUGCUAGCCGGCCUGAUUUUUUUUCUAUUUCUUUUUUUUUCACUUUUUUUACUCUUUUUUCUUCUCUGUUUUUUUUCACUUUUUUUUCUUGCUUUUUUUACCAGGCCAGUUAGCAAGACGGAAACGUUUCAAAACAGCUUGUCUGUUACUAUUGCCGUACCGGUAGUACUAGUAGAGAUCAAAAAGUAAACUAGUACACUAAAAAGAAAAACCGAGGCACAACCUGUGUGUUUGCUAAGACGUGUGCUGCUAGUGGUGGCACUAAAUUACUAAUAAUGGAUGGCUGGCGGUGGUACACAAAGGGUAAUGAUGGAUGGCUAACCAAGAUGGAACCAAGAUGCUUGGAGCUAGCGGGUGAUGUCUGGGGGGUGCAUGCGGCAGCACAUGCACAGUUUUUAAGGCGGAUGGGACGUUGGGCACAGGUGCAGCGAUGAAAAGGAAACAAUCGGGUGCAAUCUUUUUUGUUUAAGACGAACAUUGCGGCAAAGAUCUGGAGGGUGGACAAAAAUAGAUUGAUCUAGUAGAUGUUUUUCUCCCAAACAAAUCUAAACCAGCACUAAGACUAGGAUGGAUGCAACCAAAGAUUCAACUACACAAAUACUAGAUGCAAAAAUUGCUAGAGGCUAAAAAGGUAGGUGCAACGGAUGAACUAAUAUUUUUUUUGGCUUUUUUGUGGGCUGUAGGACUGAAAAAUAAACUAAUCUAACAAAACUGUAAAUCUCUCACCGAUGAACCUGAAAACUGAUACCACUUGAUGUGAACUGGGGACCCGAUCUUUCGAUGAGAGGGAGAUAACUACGAUUUUGGGUGGGACUUGACCCUCACGAUCCGGCUACCAACCGUAUAGGGAGAACCGUACACGACUGAUAUCCACGGCAAUCGCUGAACCAACUCCACGGCGUUAUCGACCGAGCCAACGACGCGAUCGACCUAUCCACGAAGGAUUUUUCCUGUAAGCAAAUCGAAGAACAUGCAAGCAAAUAAUAGCCAAACAAUCUCAAAAUUGCGAAUAUGCUAGAUGGGACUAAUCUCACAAGAUGGGGUUCCGAUAGAAUGUCUUGACGGUCGCACUAGCCGCUACGAGCGAAGACAAAUAAAAGUAGCAAUAUAGCUAAACUUCUCUAAACAAACCCCGAGUCUAAACCCUAACAAACGCUAACUAUUUAUUGAAUACGGCACUGUGGUUGUCGGUCGGUACUGCGCGUUGUCGUGUCUAAUGUGGACUCCUUCAGGUAAGGCCAAAUCCAAUUGAUGCGAUGGGCCGGCGUGUACUUCCGUAGCAGCCAAAAAUAUCCAGGGACACAUGGCCUAUUCUGGUCCAUGAAAUCUAAUCCUUCUUUGCUUCUCUUGCACUUGUUAGUUGUAGACGUAACAUGCAUGAUGGAUGGUUCGGUUGAGCCCAUGCAUGCAAUUAGCACAGCUGCUUGUAGAUUCAAGACAAAAUUAUUUUCAUCUUCUAACUCUUUAUCACUUUCUCCCCUGGGUACAAGAAAAUUGACACAUGAGUGUAACAUCAUAUUCUCAUUAGUUAAAUUGUAAGUACAAAGGAGCGACAGAACCUGAUUAUUUAUUUGUCUCGCACGCGCUCUAGUCAUAGGUCCAGAUGCAAGUGUGUCAACGAUGUCUCGUGUAAUAUUUGUAGAUGUAUUUAUGGUAUCUAUGUCCACAUCAGUUGGUUUCCAGAUUUUAGAGAAUUUAUAGAGGCGGAGUUAGGUCAAACGGAGCCACGUGGGCCCCACAAGCCACCAGGGCGCGCUCUACCCUCUAGGCGCCCCCUGGUGCCUCGUGGGCCACUGAUCCAUCUCUUGUCCCCUCCCGAAGCUUCCAGGGUCUCUUAUUGCUAGAAAAAAUCUCCAAAAUGUUUCGUGGCAUUUGGUACUGAUAUUCUAAAAAACCAAAAACAAGCAAAAAAACAGCAACUGUCAUUGGGCACUAAGUUAGCAGGUUAGUCCCAAAAAAUGACAUAUAAUUGCUUGAAAGUGUAUAUAAAACAUCCAAGAUUGAUACUAUAAUAGCAGGGAACAAUAAAAACUAUCAAGCAUCCCCAAGCUUAAUUCUUACUCCUCCUCGAGUAGGUAAAUGAUAAAAAUAGAUUUUUUGGUGUGAAUGCUACCUAACAUAUUCAUCAUAUACUCUUUUCUUUUGUAGCAUGGACAUUUAGACUUGAAUAAUUCAAAGCAAUAGUCUAUAAUUUGACAUGAAGACAUCAAUACUCAAGCAUACUAACAAGCAACCAUGUUUUUCAAGAUAUAAACGCUAAUGAAAGUUAUCCCUAGCCCAUUUUGCUCAAUCAUUGAUCCAUUCAUGAAACACACUCAACAUUAGCUACAUCCAAUGCAAAAGUAUGACAAUAGCGCUCUCUAGUUGGUGCUUUGUAAGAGAAGAUAGAGACUCAAAAUAAAAAUAAAAAUUGCAUAAAAGUAAAUAGAUAGACCCUUUGUAGAGGGAAGCAGAAAUUUGUAGAGGUGCUAGAGCUCAAGGCUUAAAUUAGAGCUAAAGUUAUUUUGAGAGGCAUGCUUUUCCGGUCAACAAAAAUGACCGAGAAUUCCCAAUAUCUUCCAUGCUAGACAAAUAUAGGCAGUUCUCAAACAGAAAAUAAAAUUUAUUUCCUUUUCACCAUUCUUUCACAAGCCAUGGCUAGCCGUAUCCAGGGGUGCCUUCCAUACCAACACUUUCCAAGGAACUUAUUAUUAUCAUCAUAUUAUUUUUUUCAUUUCGGGACUGGGCAUCCCUAUUACCCGUCACACUCUUGUGCAAUGAUAAGUGAAUAAACACUCAUCGUGAGAAUAAAAUACCUAGCAUGGAAAAUAUGCGGUAUGGGGACACAAAACAGGAAUUUAUUUUGAAAAAUUAGAGUUGGCACAUGCAAAUUUACUUGGAAUGGCAUGAAUCACAUAUAGGUAGGUAUGGUGGGCUUGGAUGCACAAGCAAUAUUCCCGCUUAGUACAAAUGAAGGCUAGCAAAUAGAUUGAGAAGAGACCAACCAAAAAACAAAUGGGUCAUAAACAUGCAACUAACACUGAAUAAUGCACCAUAAGUAGGAUGUAACUCCGUUGCAUAACUAUUGACUUUAUGUGCAUGCAUAGGGAAUCACAAACCUUAACACCAAUAUUCUUACUAAAGCACAAUUUCUCACUAACACGACUCACAUAUUAUCAUCUCCAUACGCAAAACUAUUGCAAGGAAUCAAACCUAUCACAUCCAAUGAUCUAUUUGGAAGUUUCCAUUAUAUCCCUCUUGGAUAUUCAUCAUAUUGGGACCAAAUUCAUAUCUUGUGCAAAUUACCAUUGCUAUUAUCAACUCUCAAACAGAUUUAAGUCAAGCAUGAGAGUGUAAAUAUUUCUUCAAAAUAUAAUUCUAUGAACUCUCAAAAUAAUAUAAGCGAAGCAUGAGAGUGUAUUUCUUUAAAAUAGGAUCACCACUGUGCUAAAAAAGAUAUAAGUGAAGCACUACAACAACUGCUGCCUAGCUCAAAAGAUUUAAGUGAAGCACUUAUUCUAAUAAAUCAUGAUAAAUGUGUGGCUCUCUCAAAUAAGUGUGUCCAGCAAGGAUGAUUAUGACAAACUAAAAAGCAAACAAAGCAAAGAAUCAUAUAAUACACGACGCUCCAAGCAAAACUCAUGACAUGUGAUGAAUAAAAAUAUAGCUCCAAGUAAAAUUAAUGAUAGUUGGUAGAAGAAAGAGGGGAUGCCUUCCGUGGCAUCCCCAAGCUUAGUGGCUUAGGAGUCCUUGAAUAUUACCUUGGGGUGCAUCGGGCAUCCCCAAGCUUAGGCUCUUUCCACUCCUUAUUCCUUCAUCCAUCGUGAUCUCACCCAAACUUGAAAACUUCAAUCACACAAAACUCAACAAAACCUCGUGAGAUGCGUUAGUAUAACAAAGCAAAUCACUACUUUAAGUAUUGUUCCAAACCUAUUCAUAUUUUGUUUUUGCGUUAUACCUACUGUAUUCUAACUUCUCCAUGGCUUAACCCCCCCGAUAUAAUCAAUAGUUUCAUCAAAACAAGCAAAACAAUGCAUCAAAAGCAGAAUCUGUCAAAAACAAAAAAGUCUGUAGCAAUCAGAACAUUGACCAUACUAUUGUAACUCAAAAAAUUCUGAAAAAUUAGGACAACGUGGGAAAUUUGUAUAUCAACCAUGUCUAAAAAAUUCUGAAAUUUAUCGCUCUCUAGCAAAUGUGAACAAUUAUGCUACUAGACGCCAAAGUUUCUCUUUUUGCAUAGAAUCAAAGCAACUAUCAACCAAAUCAUCCCAAAGGCUUUACUUGGCACAAACACUAACUAAAACAUAAAAACACAAUCAUAACAGUAGCAUAAUUGUGUGCACACAAGAAAACUGAAAAAUAAACACAAAAAGUUAAGAUAACUAUUGGGUUGCCUCCCAACUAGCGCUAUUGUUUUACGCCCCUAGCUAGGCAUAAUGCAUUGUUUCAAGUGUUGUCGUCUUUGUUCUUUUCAUUCAAAGAUGUGUUUGCCUCGGGAGGUUUUUCAAAAACAAUAUGAAACACAUCAUCCAUGGGAAUUUUAUCAUUAGCAAGUUGGCCAUCCGCAAAUCCCUCUUGGUUACUGGUUACAAUCCUCGACUAUUGUUUAUUAAUACCAUUAAAAACUUGUUGGAUUAUAUUCAAAGGAGGGACUUCCUUUUUGGUAUUUUCAUCAGAAGACUAAUCAUCAUGAAAUAGAUAUCUCAACAAGUAGUCACUAUUAUAUACAAUCUCAUAUAUUGCCGGUUUUUCAUGGUUCAUUCCAUAAAAAUCAAAGAGCUCUCUAGCGUCCCGCACUAUAUAAUCAAAUUCAUUCAUAUGAACAAGGGUAGCUAUUUUCUUAGCCCUAGGAUUUUUUAUAACGGGUAACUCAUAAAAUAAUCUUUGCAAAGUAGGAUGGGUACAAAUAAAUCUUCUCUCAAGUUUAAGAAUAAGUGCGGAAAUAGCUUCGGCAUAAGUUUUGGUUCUUUUAAGUAUAGAAGCAUCACCACAAGCCAAAGUUCCAGUGCAAUUAAAAAAUUCUUGGAUAACACUUUUCUCUAUAAUAUUCCCAUGUCGCACCACAAAAGUUUUAGCAUCUAAAUUGGUAGGAAUUUUGAUUUUAGGCCAUCCUCACUUCUUUCCAGACCAAAAUCACCCAUGGUAGCAAUUUUGAGCAAACAAACAAGAAAACACGCAAAAACGCAAAAAGAAAAUAUUUUGUAUUUUUGUAAAAACUUUUUAGAAGUGGGGGAGAUGAAAAUGAGAGGCAAAAGGCAAAUAAUGUAAGUGCAAGAAGAUGAAACUUUAUGCGUAGAUACUUGAUAGAUAUUGAUGAUGUCUCCCCUGCAACGACGCUAGAAAUUCUUCCUACUACUUGUGAACUGCUUAGGAUUUCCCCAAAGAGGAGAGGAUGAUGCAAUACAAUAGAGGUAAGUAUUUUCCUCAGUUAAGAACCAAGGUUAUCAAUCCAGUAGGAGAACCAAAUAAGACCUCGUUAGCAGCACCUGCACACAAACAACAAAUUCUUGCAACCCAACGCGAACAAGGGGUUGUCAAUCCCUUGACAGUUAUGACCAAGAUUAAAUUGUAUGAUGUUGGAUAGAUAGAUCGGACAAAAAUACAAAAUAAAAGAAAUAAAAUAAAAACACAGCAAUGUAUUUCUGGUUUUUGUAUAUGAUAAGAGAUAGACCCAGGGGCCAUAGUUUUCACUAGAGGCUUCUCUCUUGAAAAUAGCAUACGGUGGGUAAACAAAUUACUCGUGUGCAAUUGAUAGAAAAACAAAUAAUUAUGACGAUAUCCAAGGCAAUGAUCAUGUAUAUAGGCAUCACGCCUGAGACAAGUAGACCGACUCUUGCCUGCAUUUACUACUAUUACUCCACACAUCGACCGCUAUCCGGCAUGCAUCUAGUGUAUUAAGUUCAUAAAAAUGGAGUAACGCCUUAAGCAAGAUGACAUGAUGUAGACAAGAUAAACUCAUGUAUGAAUAAACCCCAUCUUUUUUGCCCUGAAUAGCAACGAUACAUAUGUGUCAUGUCCCCUUCCGUCACUGGGUUUGAGCACCGCAAGAUCGAACCCGUUACAAAGCACCUCUCCCAUUGCAAGAUAAAUCAAUCUAGUUGGCCAAACCAAAUCUAUAGAUCGGUGAGAAAUACGAAGCUAUAACAAUCAUGCAUAAAAGAGUUCAUAGAAAACUCAAAUAAAUUCAUGGAUAGAUCUGAUCAUAAACUCACAAUUCAUUGAAUCCCAACAAACACACCACAAAAAGUGAUUACGUUAGAUAGAACUCCAAGAACAUCGAGGAGAACAUUGUAUUGAAGAUCAAAUAGAGAGAAGAAGCCAUGUAGCUACUAACUACGGACUCAUAGGUCUGUGGUAAACUACUCAUGCAUCAUUGGAAGGGCAACAAGGAUGAUGUAGAGCCCCUCCGUGAUCGGAUCCCCCUCCGGCAGAGUGCCGAAAAAGGCCUCCAGAUGGGAUCUGUCAAGAACAGGAAGUUGCGGUGGCGGAAAAAGUAUUUCGUGGUCUCCCCUAUUGGUUUCUAGAUUUUAGAGAAUUUAUAGAGGUAGAGUUAGGUCAAACGGAGCCACGUGGGCCCCACAAAUCACCAGAGCGCGUCCUACCCCCUGGGCACGCACUGGUGCCUUGUGGGGCACUGCUCCAUCUUCUCAUCCCCUCUCGAAGCUUCUAAGGUCUCUUAUUGCGAGAAAAAAAUCUCCAAAAAGUUUCAUGGCAUUUGGACUUCAUUUGGUACCGAUAUUCUAAAAACUUGCAAAAACAACAACUGGCACUGAGCACUAUGUUAAUAGUUUAGUCCCAAAAAAUGAUAUAUAAUUGCUUGAAAGUGUAUAUAAAACAUCCAAGAUUGAGACUAUAAUAGCAUGGAACAAUAAAAAAAUAUAGAUACCUUGGAGACGUAUCAGCCACCACCAAAACCAUCAUUGCACAUCCUCCGCAAUUGUUAUCCCCUGACAACGCCUCUAGGGAGUAACACGACUCCGCAACAUCUUUGCCGCCCAAAUAGGGGACCAAGGUUUUCACCACUAAGAAUGGGCGGGUUGAGGGCGGGGGGAGGGGAACCUCACCGAAGCCUCUAGGGAGUGGAUCAUUUCCAAAGCCGCCGACUUUGACGUGACAGAUGUCGCUUGAACUACGUCAGUAUUUCCCCAAAGAGGAAGGGAUGAUGCAGUACAUCUAUGGUAGGUAUUUCCCUCAGUUAUGAAACAAAGGUAUCAAUCCAAUAGGAGAACCAAGCAACACUAUGUAAAGGGUACCUGCACACAAAGAACAAAUACUUGCAACCCGACGCGUAAGAGGGUCUGUAUCGGGUAAAUGAUUGGUAAAUAGAUUGAUUGGUAGAUGCAAAUAGAAUAACGGCAAACAAAAUUCAGUGAGGUAUUUUUGGGUUUUUGAUAAUAUAGAUAUGAAAAUAAAAGAUGCAAAUAAAAGAAAAGGCAAAUAGAAAUAUAGAUAUGAACAUAUAUGAUGAGAAAAUAGACACGGGGGCUGUAGAUUUCACUAAUGGCUUCUCUCAAAAAAAUAGAACACGGUGGGUAAACAAAUUACUGUUGGGCAAUUGAUAGAAGAUUGAAUAAUUAUGACAAUAUCCAAGCAAUGAUCAUUAUAUAUGCAUCACGUCCAAGAUUAGUAGACCGACUCCUGCCUGCAUAUACUACCAUUACUCCACACAUCGACCGCUAUCCAUCAUGCAUCUAGUGUAUUAAGUUCAUGGAGAAAUGGAGUAAUGCAAUAAGAACGAUGACAUGAUGUAGACGAGAUCUAUUCAUUUAGGAACAACCCCAUCUUGUUAUGCUUAAUAGCAAUGAUACAUGCGUGUCUUGCUGCCCCUUCUAUCACUGGGAAAGAACACCGCACGAUCGAACCCAUCACAAAGCACCUCUUCCCAUGGCAAGAUAAUCGAUCUAGUUGGCCUAACUAAACCAAAGAUUCGAAGAAGAAAUACAAGGCUAUAAUUAAUCAUGCAUAUAGGAGAUCAAAGAAGACUCAAAUAACUUUCAUGGAUAUAGAUCUGAUCAUAAAUUCAAAGUUCAUCGGAUCCCAACAAACACACCGCAAAAAGAGUUACAUCAAAUAGAUCUCCAAGAGACCAUUGUAUUGAGAAUCAAAAAGGGAGAAGAAGCUAUCUAGCUACUGCCUACGGACCUGUAGGUCUAUGAUGAACUACUCACACAUCAUCGGAGAGGCACUAAUGAGGAUGAUGAACCCCUCCGUGAUGGUGUCUAGAUUGGAUCUCGUGGUUCUGGAAGUUGUGACGACUGGAAUUGUUUUUUGUCGACUCCCCUAGGGUUUCUGGAAUAUUGGGGUAUUUAGAGCAAAGAGGCAGUGUGGGAGGUCACUGAUGGGGCACAACCCCUGGGUGCACCUGGGCUCCUAGGCGCGCCCUGGUGGGUUGUGCCCACCUUGGUCCUCCCUCUCGUACUUCUUUGGCCCAUCUUGUGUCUUUUGGUCCAAAAAAUUCUCCAAAAAGUUUCAUUGCGUUUGGACUCCGUUUGGUACUGAUAUUUAGCGAAGUAAAAAAGAAGGAAAAAACAGCAACUUGCACUGGGCACUAUGUUGAUAGGUUAGUCCCAAAAAUGCUAUAAAGUUGCUAUAAAAUAAUUAUAAGACAUCCAAGAAUGAUAAUAUAACAGCAUGGAACAAUAAAAAAAUGAUAGAUACGCUGGAGAUGUAUCUCGUCCUCCAGUAGGUAAAUGAUAAAAGCAAAAUUUUUGAUGACAUGUUCAUCACAUAUUCUUUUCUUUUGUAGCAUGGACAUAUUGACUUUUAUAUGGUUCAAAGUAAUAGUCUAGUUUUGACAUGAAGAUUUCAAUACUAAAGCAUAUCAACAAGCAACCAUGUCUUUCAAAAUAUCAACACUAAAUAAAGUUAUCCCUAGCCCAUCAUGCUCAAUCAUUGAUCCGUUCAUGAAACACACUCGCAUAUUAGCUACAUAGAAUGCUCAAGUAUGAUCAUAGUGCCCCUUAGUUGGUGCUUUAUAAGAGAAGCUGAAGACUCAAGUAAAAAUAAAAAUUGCAUAAAGUAAAUAGAUAGGCCCUUCGCAGAGGGAAGUAGGGAUUUGUAGAGGUGCCAGAGCUCAAAUCUUAAAUUGAGAGAUAUUUUUUUUGAGAGACGUAGUUUUCCCGUCAACGAAAACGACCGAGUAAUUCCCAACACUUUCCAUGCUAGAUAUAUCAUAGGCGGUUCCCAAACAGAAAAUAAAGUUUAUUCCUUUUUCCACCAUUCUUUCACAAUCCAUGGCUAGCCGUAUCCACGGGUGCCUUCCAUACCAACAGUUUCCAAGGAAUUUAUUAUUUGACAACAUAAAGUAAUUUUUUUUCAUUUAGGGACUGGGCAUCCCUAUUACCGAUGUACUCUCGUGCAAUGAAAAGUGAACAAACACUCAUCUUGAGAAUAACACAUCUAGCAUGGAAAAUAUUGGCCACCCCUACCGCUUCAUGAGCGGUACGAGCACACAAAAAGGAAAUUCAUUUUGAAAAUUAGAGAUGGCACAUACAAAUUUUCUUAUAACGACAUGGAAAUACCGCAUAUAGGUAGGUAUGGUGGACUCAUGUGGCAAAACUAGGUUUGAAGAGUUUGGAUGCACAAGUAGUAUUUCUACUUAGUACAAGUGGAGGCUAGCAAAAAGAUUGAGAAGCAACCAAUCAAGAAACGAAAAAUCACAUAAGAGAGCAUUAAGCAUAACUAACACCGAAUAAUGCACCACAAGUAGGAUGUAAUUUCAUUGCAUAACUAUUGACUUUCGUGCUUUCAUAGGGAAUCACAAACCUUAACACCAAUAUUCUUGCUAAAGCACAAUUACUCACCAACAUGACUCACAUAUCGCUAUCAUCAUAUCUCAAAACUAGAAUCAAGUUUAAUUUGUCCAAUGAUCUCCAUGAAAGUUUUUAUUAUAUCCCUCUUGAAUAUCUAUCACUUUGGGACUAGUUUCAUAUACUGCAAUUGCUUUUGACAAGCUCAAACAAAUCUAAGUGAAGAACUUGAGCAUAACAUUUUCCGUCUCUCAAAAUAAUAUAAGUGAAGCAUGAGAGAAUUUCUUCAAAAUUACUAACUCUCAAAUAAAUCUAAGUGAAGGAUGAGAGUAUUUCUUCAAACAUAUUAAAGCACACCAUGCUCAAAAAAGAUAUAAGUGAAGCACUAGAGCAAUUCCAUAGCUCAAAAAAUUCAAGUGAAGCAUAAAGAGCAAUUCUAAUAAAUCAUAGCAUAAUUUUCGCUCUCUCAAAUAGGUGUGUCCAGCAAGGAUACUUGUGACAAACUAAAAAGCAAAACAAGCAAAGACUCAUAUAAUACAAGACGAUCCAAGCUAAACUCAUGAUAUGUGACGAAUAAAAAUAUAGCUCCAAGUAAAAUACCGAUGGUUGUUAGAAGAAAGAGGGGAUGCCACUUGGGGCAUCCCCAAGCUUAGUUGCUUGUUUCUUCUUGAAUAUUAUCUUGGUGUGCCAUGGGGCAUCCCCAAGCUUAGACUCUUGCUUCUCCUUAUUCCUUCAUCCAUCAUGAUCUCACCCAAAACUUGAAAACUUCAAUCACACAAAACUUGACAAAACCUUUGUGAGAUCCGUUAGUAUAAGAAAGCAAAUCACAACUCUAAGUACUCUUGCAAACCCAUUCAUAUUUUAUUAUUGCAUUAUACCUGCUGUAUUCUAACUUUACCAUGGCCCAUUCAUAUUUUAUUAUUGCAUCAUACCUACUGUACUGUAAGUUUACCAUGGCUUAUACCCCCCGAUACAAUCCAUAGAUUCAUCAAAAUAAGCACGCAAUGCAACGAAAAUAGGAUCUGUCAAAAACAAAACUGUUUGUAGUAAUUAGGAAUCUUAGUAUACUACUGUAACUCCAAAAAUUCUGAACAAUUAGGAAAACAUGGGAAAUUUGUAUAUCAUCUUGUGUAAAAAAUUCAGAGCAAAAUCACAUUUCUGUGAUUUUCUAAAAUUCUGUUACUGGUCAUAAAAGUUUCUGUUUUUCAACAAGAUCAAAUCAACUAUCACCCAACAUGAUCCCAAAGGCUUAGCUUGGCACAAAAACUAAUUAAACAUAAAAAAAGAAUUAAAACAGAGGCAUAAUUGUGCAAACACUCAAAAAUAGAAAGGAAAAGGUAAAAAUAAGUUUUAUUCAUUGGGUUGCCUCCCAACAAGCGCUAUCGUUUUAUGCCACUAGCUAGUCAUAAUUCAUAGAUUCAAGUAUUGUCAUCUUUGGUUUUUGAUCCAUAGGAUGCCCUCAUGAUUGAUUCAUAUGGUGGCUUGAUUCCUGUUCUAGGGAAGUGUUCCAUCCCCUUUCUUAAUGGAAAUUGAAAUUUAAUAUUGCCUUCUUUCAUAUCAGUCACGUCCGCGUAAAAAUGACCGUCUACAAAGUAUAAUUGGACAAAACGGAUUGCAAUCAAUAUCAAGAACAAUAAACAUCUAUGGGCACAUAAUUCCUAUUUGCAAGAAUAAGAACAUCAUUAAUUCUUCCCAAAGGCUUUUUAAUAGUAGAAUCCUCCAAGUGAAGAUUUAAAGAACACUCUUCAAUAUCGGUAAGACCGAGCACAUCUCAUCAAGAUUUCGGAAUUGUGGAAACACUAGCACCCAAGUCCCAUAAAGCAAAACACCCAUAAUUUUUAAUCUUGACUUUAAUGGUGGUUCCCAUUCAUCAUGUAAUUUUCUAGGAAUUGAAACCUCUAAUUCCAACUUUUUUUCUAAAGUUUUCAUCAUGGCAUCAAAAAUAUGUUUAGUAAAAGUUUUAUUUUGUUCAUAGGCAUGAGGCAAAUUUAUCAUGGAUUGCAACAAAUAAAUACAUUCAAUCAAAGAGCAAUUAUCCUAAUUAAAGUCUUUGUAAUCCAAAAGAGUGGGCACAUCACUAGUUAAAGUUUUGACCUUUCUAAACCCACUUUUAUCAACCUUUUCAUCAAUAUUUUCACCUUCCGAAUUAUCGGGACUCCCUCUAGCUAAAGUUGACUCUUUGAUGUGGAGCAUACUACAGUCAUCCCCAUGGACCUACAUUCGUAUCCCACGACACCACAUGGACCAAUGACAAGAGCUUGAGCAAGGGCUACCGAAACUAAGGUGAACUCGCUCCUCUCCGAACUACCACUUUCUACAUGCGAGACAUGGCUACUACCUCAAGCAGAAACCAUAUGUGUGACCAGGUACUUGGAGGAAAGCCACGGAGCUACUACAUCCAACGGACAAUACGGCGAGGACGCUAAGUACAAGGACCAAGAAGAAGAGCUCUCAAAAAUCCACAGCCACCAGACGACAGGUACUUGUCAGAAGUCCGAUGCCUGGAAGCACCAGCCAGCCAGCCCAAGUCGUAGCCAGCAAGUGCUACAGCGGCCGGACACCCGACACGAACUGGACGUCCGACACCCCCAGCGUCCGGACGACCGAGCCCCUCCGGACGACCGCUACCACCAGACCAGAGCCAAAACGUCAGAAGGCCGAUCUCCUCCGGACGACCGAUGCACCGAACGUCCAACCCCGACCGGAAAUCCGACCACACCUGGUCAGAGCCAAAACACCGGAUGCCCGACAUCUACCGGACGACCGGACCCCAGCGAGCCACCGGACGUCCGGUAACUAUCGAUCGACCGACGCCUGUCUGUGCACAGCCUGUUGGGCCGAGGCCCAUGUACCCAUUCGCCCUCCUUAGACUAUAUAUACUCCUUCUCCUCCACUUUUCUAGGGUUAGCAAUAGUUUAGCUCAUUUGAGAGAUAGAGCAUUGCUCAUCCACUUGAUACCUACUCCAUCGGAGGCGAAGCCCUCCAUCUAGGAGAAGAUCCCCCAAGUGGAUUCAAGCCCUCCACCCAGGAGAAGAUCCCUCGUGGAUUCAAGACCCCGUCUCCGAAUCGGGAAGAACUACCACCUCUUGUAUCGUCCUUUGUUGCGUUUGAAUCUUGUAUCACCCUUUGUGUUCAUGGAUCUAGCACAUGUGUGGUCAUUCUCGUUGAUUUGAGUGUUUUCCCUCGUGUUUUCCUCCAUGUGUUCGUCUUGUUCUUCAUGGGAUCCCCUCUAAAUCAUGAAAGAAUGGCCCUAGGGUUUCCGCCCUACAUCACUCUUCUCCAGUCCCUUUAUCAUCAGUUUUAAUUUUGCUACACAAGGAAUCAGUAGAAGAAACACCAAUCACUUUAAGAUCUUCAUCAUUUUUAUGAAAGCAAUCACUAGAAAACGCUCUUUCUAAAAAUUCUCCUUUUGCUCUAAGCAUAGCGGUUCUUUUAUUACUUUCAUCCAUUGAAACAUAUAAAUCUUUAAUUGAUUCAUCAACCUUGGGUACAAAACUUUUCAACUUGAGAUUUUCUACGUCGUGAGAAAUUAUAUCAAUGCUUCUAAACAUAUCAUUAAUCUUAUUCAACUCUUCUUCUGUCGUAGUAUUGAAAACUUUUUGAGUAUUAAUAGUUUUUUUAAUAUUAUUCUCAAGACCAGAGGGGUUCCUAUUAUUAUUGUAAGAAGAAUUACCAUAGGAAUUACCAUACUUAUUAGAGGAAUCUCUAGGAAAAGGCCUAGGAUUAAAAUUACCUCUAUAAGCAUUGUUAUUGAGAUUAUCACGUGAGAUAAAAUUCACAUCUAUGGCAUCACUAUUUUUCUCAAUCAAAGUUGACAAAGGCACAUCAUUAAUAUCAAUAGGAGCACUUUCACUAGCAACCAUUUUCAUAAGAGCAUCAUUUUUUUCACUCAAAGAAUUAAUUUCUUCAGCCAAAUUAACUUUUUUACUAGUAGAUGCUCUUUCGGUAUGCCAUUGUGAAUAAUUUGCCAUGAUAUUAUCUAGCAAUUUAGUAGCUUCACCCAAAGUAAUUUCCAUAAAAUUACCACCCGUGGAGGAAUCUAAAAGAUUUCUGGAGACAAAAUUCAAUCCCGCAUAAAAGUUUUGUAUGAUCAUCUAAAGAUUUAAACCAUGUGUAGGAAAAUUUCUUAGCAUCAACUUCAUUCUUUGCCAAGAUUGUGAAACAUGUUCAUGCUCAAGUUGCUUAAAAUUCAUGAUUUGAGUUCUAAGGAAAAGAAUUUUUGCAGGCAGAAAAUACUCAGUAAUAAAAGUAGCUUUGCACUUAUCCCAAGAAUCGAUACUAUUACGAGGCAAAGAAGAAAGCCAAAUUUUUGCAUGAUUCCUGAAGGAGAAAGGAAAUAAUUUCAACUUCACAAUAUCAUUGUCCACAUCUUUUUUAUUUUGCAUAUCACACAAUUCUACGAAUGUGUUUAGAUGGGAAGCGGCAUCCUCAUCAGGAGUACCAGAAAAUUGAUAUUUCAUGACAAGAUUUAACAAAGCAGCAUUAAUAUCACAAGAUUCCGCACUAGUGGCGGGAGGAGCAAUCGGAGUGCUAAUAAAAUCAUUGUUAUUGGUAUUGGAAAAAUCACACAAUUUAGUGUUUUCUUGAGUCAUCAUGACUACGUAAACAAGAUCACAAAUAUAUCUAAUGCGAAAAAGACGAACGAAAAAGAGGGCGAAUAAAAUGACAAAUUUUUGUGAAGUGGGGAACAUGAAAAUGAGAGGCAAAUGGCAAAUAAUGUAAAUUGCAAGGAGAUGAGAUUUGUGAUUAGGAACCUGAUAGAUGUUGAUGAUGUCUCCCCGUCAACGGCGCCAGAAAUUCCUUUUGAUGUCGCUUGAACUACGUCGAUAUUUCCCCAAAGAGGAAGGGAUGAUGCAGUAUAGCUACGGUAGGUAUUUCCCUCAGUUAUGUAACCAAGGUAUCAAUCCAGUAGGAGAAUCAAGCAACACUACUUGCAACCCAACGCGUAAGAGGGGUUGUCAAUCCCUCUUGGGUAAAAGAUUGGUCAAUAGAUAGACUGGUAGAUGCAAAUAGAGUAACGGCAAAUAAAAUUCAACGAGGUAUUUUUGGGUUUUUGAUAAUAUAGAUCUGAAAAUAAAAGAUGCAAAUAAAAGAAAAGGCAAAUAGCAAUAUAGAUAUGAAAAUAUAUGAUGAGAAAAUAGACACGGGGGCCGUAGAUUUCACUAGUAGCUUCUCUCGAGAAAAUAGCAGACGAUGGGUAAACAAAUUACUGUUGGGCAAAUGACAGAAGAUCGAAUAAUUAUGACGAUAUCCAGGCAAUGAUAAUUAUAUAGGCAUCACGUCCAAGAUUAGUAGACCGACUCCUGCUUGUAUCUGCUACUAUUACUCCACACAUCGACCGCUAUCCAGCAUGCAUCUAGUGUAUUAAGUUCAUCGAGAAAUGGAGUAAUGCAAUAAGAACGAUGACAUGAUGUAGACGAGAUCUAUUCAUGUAGGAAUAGCCCCCAUCUUGUUAUCCUUAAUAGCAACAAUACAUGCGUGUCUUGCUGCCCCUCCUGUCACUAGGAAAGAACACUGCACGAUCGAACCCAUCACAAAGCUCCUCUUCCCAUGGCAAGAAAAAUCGAUCUAGUUGGUCUAACUAAACCAAAGAUUGGAAGAAGAAAUACAAGGCUAUGAUUAAUCAUGCAUAUAAGAGAUCAAAGAAGACUCAGAUAACUUUCAUGGAUAUAUAUAUGAUCAUAAACUCAAAGUUCAUCGGAUCCCAACAAAAACACCGCAAAAAGAGUUACGUCAAAUAGAUCUCCAAGAGACCAUUGUAUUGAGAACCAAAAAGAGAGAAGAAACCAUCUAGCUACUGCCUAUGGGCCCGUAGGUCUAUGAUGAACUACUCACAUAACAUCCGAGAGGCACCAAUGAGGAUGAUGAACCCCUCCGUGAUGGUGUCUAGAUUGGAUCUCGUGGUUCUGGAACUUGCGGUGGCUAGAAUUGUUUUUCGUUGAUUCCCCUAGGGUUUCUGAAAUAUUGGGGUAUUUAUACAGCAAAGAGGCGGUGUGGGAGAUCACCGAGGGGGGAACAACCCCCUGGGCACGCCCUGAUGGGUUGUGCCCACCUCGGGCCUCCCCUCUGGUACUUCUUUGUCCCAUCUUGUGUCUUCUGGUCCAAAAAGAUUCUCCAAAAAGUUUCACUGUGUUUGGACUCCGUUUGGUACUGAUAUUAUGCGAAGUAAAAAACAAGCAAAAAACAACAACUGGCACUGGGCACUAUGUCAAUAGGUUAGUCCCAAAAAAUGAUAUAAAGUUACUAUAAAAUGAUUGUAAAACAUCCAAGAAUGAUAAUAUAACAGCAUGGAACAAUAAAAAAUUAUAAAUAUGUUGGAGACAUAUCAGUGACCGUCGUACGAGCCAAGGGGUUUUCCUAGUUCCUGCCCACAGCUAGGAGUUCCAUCCUCUACGAGCCGAAGGCUAACAACCGGAGGCCGUCGACCAUCGAAAUCAGAGGGGGAGCAAGCAAAUCCAGCAAGGUGGGGCGUGUCUUCUCCAUGGGACGCCGACAAGGUCUGCUAGGAGACCAGUGUGUCAUGACCCACAUCCGUCGUCCCCUUACUACCGGCGCAGCUAGGGAGGACGACCACCCAAUGCGCACCAGCGUGACCCACCGUGAAGGCCAUGUUGGGCUCACCACCAGGGGCCACCGCCCCAGUUACUGAGGACCUCCAUGAUAUGCGGAGUAGCCAUUUCUCUGCCGCCACCUUCAUAGGUGACACACGCACAAGUCGAGGCACACCAUGGGCAGCGAUGGAGAGAUGGGAGGAGGGACAAGGGUGGGAGGGGGCGUUAUGCUAGGAACCCUUAGGUCGCCUCAGAGAGACGACACGAGGGCUAGGAGCACAACCCUGCAGACUGCCCUUUCAACUUGUAUUUGACAUAGUAAAACUUUCACAUCACAUUUUGACAUAGGUCGAAUUAUAUAGGAAACUAAAACUGAAGGAAAUAUGCCCUAGAGUCAAUAAUAAAGUUAUCAUUUAUUUCCUCAUAUCAUGAUAAAUGUUUAUUAUUCAUGCUAGAAUUGUAUUAUCUGGAAACAUAAUACAUGUGUGAAUACAUAGACAAACUUAAUGUCACUAGUAUGCCUCUACUUGACUAGCUCAUUAAUCAAAGAUGGUUAUGUUUUCUAACCAUAGACAUGAGUUGUCAUUUGAUUAACAGGAUCACAUCAUUAGUAGAAUGAUGUGAUUGACAUGACCCAUUCCGUUAGCUUAGCACUUGAUCAUUUAGUAUGUUGCUAUUGCUUUCUUCAUGACUUAUACAUGUUCCUACAACUAUGAGAUUAUGCAAAUCCCGUUUACCGGAGGAACACUUUGUGUGCUACCAAACGUCACAACAUAACUGGGUAUUAUAAAGGAGCUCUACAGGUGUCUCCAAAGGUACAUGUUGAGUUGGCGUAUUUUGAGAUUAGGUUUUGUCACUCCGAUUGUCGGAGAGGUAUCUCUCGGCCCUCUCGGUAAAUGCACAUCACUAUAAGCCUUGCAAGCAAUGUAUCAAAUGAGUUAGUUACGGAAUGAUGCAUUACAUAAUGAGUAAAGAGACUUUCCGGUAACGAGAUUGAACUAGGUAUUGAGAUACCGAUGAUCGAAUCUCGGGCAAGUAACAUACCGAUGACAAAGGGAACAACGUAUGUUGUUAUGCGGUUUGACCGAUAAAGAUCUUCGUAGAAUAUGUAGGAGCCAAUAUGAGCAUCCAGGUUCUGCUAUUGGUUAUUGACCGGAAACAUGUCUCGGUCAUGUCUACAUAGUUCUCGAACCCGUAGGGUCCGCACACUUAAGGUUUCGAUGACAGUUAUAUUAUGAGUUUAUGUGUUUUGAUGUACCUAAGGAGUUCGAAGUCCCGGACGAGAUCAGGGACAUGACGAGGAGUCUCGAAAUGGUCGAGACGUAAAGAUAGAUAUAUUGGAUGACUAUAUUCGGACAUCGGAAGGGUUCCGAGUGAUUCGGGUAUUUUUCGGAAUACUGGGGAGUUACGGGAAUACGGGGGAAGAAGUAUAUGGGCCUUAUUGGACUUUAGGGGAGAGAGAGAGAGGCAGGCCGCACGCCCCCAAUGACUAGUCCGAAUUGGACUAGGGGGAGGGCGGCGCCCCCUCCUUCCUUCUCUUCCUUCUCCCCUUCCUUGUCUCCUACUCCUACUACAUGGAAGGGGAGAAAUCCUACUCCCGGUGGGAGUAGGACUCCUCCAGGGUGCGCCAUAGGGGCCGACCCUCUCCUCCUCCUCCACUCCUUUAUAUACGGGGACAGGGGCACCUCUAGACACAACAAUUGAUCAUUGAUCUCUUACCCGUGUGCGGUGCCCCCCUCCACCAUAGUCCUCCUCGAUAAUAUCGUAGCAGUGCUUAGGCGAAGCCCUGCGACGGUAGAACAUCAUCAUCGUCACCACGCCAUCGUGCUGAUGGAACUCUCCCUCGACACUCGGCUAGAUUGGAGUUCGAGGGACGUCAUCGAGCUAAACGUGUGCAAGAACUCGGAGGUGCCAUUCUUUCGGUGCUUGAUCGGUCGGGCCAUGAAGACGUACGACUACAUCAACCGCGUUGUGCUAACGCUUCCUCUUACGGUCUACGAGGGUACGUAGACAACACUCUCCCCUCUCGUUGCUAUGCAUCACCAUGAUCUUGCGUGUGCGUAGGAAUUUUUUUGAAAUUACUAUGUUCCUCAACAGUGGCAUCUGAGCCUGGUUUUAUGCGUAUAUGUUAUAUGCAUGAGUAGAACACAAGUGAGUUGUGGGCGGUACAAGUCAUACUGCUUAACAUCAUGUCAUACUUUGGUUCGGUGGUAUUGUUGGAUGAAGCGGCCCGGACCUACAUUACGCGUACGCUUAUGCAAGACUGGUUCUACCGACAUGCUUAGCACACAGGUGGCUGGUGGGUGUAUGUUUCUUCAACUUUAGUCAAACCGACUAUGGCUACGCCCGGUCCUUGCGAAGGUCAAAACAACACUAACUUGACGACCUAUCAUUGUGGUUUUGAUGCGUAUGUAAGAACGGUUCUUGCUCAGCCCGUAGCAGCCACGUAAAAUUUGCAACAACAAAGUAGAGGACGUCUAACUUGUUUUUGCAGGGCAUGUUGUGAUGUGAUAUGGUCAAGACGUGAUGCUAUAUUUUAUUGUAUGAGAUGAUCAUGUUUUGUAACCGAGUUAUCGGCAACUAGCAGGAGCCAUAUGGUUGUCACUUUAUUGUAUGAAAUGCAAGCGCCCUGUAAUUGAUUUACUUUAACACUAAGCGGUAGCGAUAGUCGUAGAAGCAAUAGAUGGCGUCACGACAACAAUGCUACGAUGGAGAUCAAGGUGUCGCGCCGGUGACGAUGGUGAUCACGACGGUGCUUUGGAGAUGGAGAUCACAAGCACAAGAUGAUGAUGGCCAUAUCAUAUCACUUAUAUUGAUUGCAUGUGAUGUUUAUCCUUUAUGCAUCUUAUUUUGCUUUGAUUGACGGUAGCAUUUUAAGAUGAUCUCUCACUAAUUAUCAAACUUGACGAGCCUAGCAUAUACAGAUAUGGCCUCGGAACACGGAGGCCGAAAGGUCGAACGUGAAUCAUAUAGUAGAGAUGAUCAACAUAGUGAUGUUCACCAUUGAAAACUACUCCAUCUCACGUGAUGAUCGGACAUGGUUUAGUUGAUUUGGAUCACGUGAUCACUUAGAUGACUAUAGAGAUGUCUGUCUAAGUGAGAGUUCUUUACUAAUAUGAUUAAUUGAACUUAAAUUUAUCAUGAACUUAGUACCUGGUAGUAUUUUGCAAAUUAUGUUGUAGACCAAUAGCUUGCGUUGUUGCUUUCAUAUGUUUAUUUUGAUAUGUUCCUAGAGAAAAUUGUGUUGAAAAAUGUUAGUAGAAAUGAUGCGGAUUGGAUCCGUGAUCUGAGGUUUAUCCUCAUUGCUGCACAGAAGAAUUAUGUCCUUGAUGCACCGCUAGGUGACAGACCUAUUGCAGGAGCAGAUGCAGACGUUAUGAACGUUUGGAUAGCUCAAUAUGAUGACUACUUGAUUGUUUAGUGAACCAUGUUUAAUGGCUUAGAAUCGGGACUUCAAAGACAUUUUGAACGUCAUGGACCAUAUGAGAUGUUCUAGGAAUUGAAGUUAAUAUUUCAAGCAAGUACCCGAGUUGAGAGACAUGAAGUCUCCAACAAGUUCUAUGGCUAAAAGAUGGAGGAGAAUCGCUCAACUAGUGAGCAUGUGCUCAGAUUGUCUGGAUACUACAAUCGCUUGAGUCAAGUGGGAGUUAAUCUUCUAGAUAAGAUAGUGAUUGACAGAGUUCUCUAGUCACCAUCACCAAGUUACUAGAACUUCGUGAUGAACUAUAGUAUGCAAGGGAUGACAAAAACGAUUCCCGAGCUCUUCGUGAUGUUGAAAUCAAUGAAGGUAGAAAUCAAGAAAGAGCAUCAAGUGUUGAUGAUUGACAAGGCCACUAGUUUCAAGAAAAGGGCGAAGGGAAAGAAAGGGAACUUCAAGUAGAAUUGCAAGCAAGCUGUCACUCCCGUGAAGAAGCCCAAAGCUGGACCAAAGCCUUAAACUGAGUGCUUACACUGCAAAGGAAAUGGUCACUGGAAGCGGAGAUGCCUUGAAUAUUUGGUGGAUAAGAAGGAUGGCAAAGUGAACAAGGGUAUAUUUGAUAUACAGGUUAUUGAUGUGUACCUUACUAGUGUUUAUAGUAGCCCCUAAGUAUUUGAUACUUGUUCGGUUGCUAUAAAUUAGUAACUCGAAACAGGAGUUACAGAAUAAACAGAGACUAGUUGAGGGUGAAGUGACGAUAUGUGUUGGAAGUGGUUCCAAGAUUAAGAUGAUCACCAUCGCACACUCCCUAUACUUUCGGGAUUAGUGUUAAACCUAAAUAAAUGUUAUUUGGCGUUUGCAUUGAGCAUGAAUAUGAAUUGAUCAUGUUUAUUGCGAUACGGUUAUUCAUUUAAAGUCAGAGAAUAAUUGUUAUUCUGUUUACAUGAAUAAGACCUUCGAUGGUCAUACACCCAAUGAAAAUAGUUUGUUGGAUCUCAAUCAUAGUGAUACACAUAUUCAUAAUAUUGAUGCCAAAAGAUGCAAAGUUAAUAAUGAUAGUGCAACUUAUUUAUGGCACUGCUGUUUGGGUCAUAUCGGUGUAAAGCGCAUGAAGAAACUCCAUAAAGAUGGAUUUUCGGAAUCACUUGGUUAUGAAUCAUUUGAUGCUUGCGAACCGUGCCUUUUGGGCAAGAUGAAUAAAACUCCGUUCUCCGGAACAAUGGAACGAGCUACUGACUUAUUGGAAAUAAUACAUACUGAUGUAUGCGAUCCAAUGAGUGUUGAUGCUCGUGGCAAGUAUCGUUAUUUUCUGACCUUCACAAGAUGAUUUGAGCACAUAUGGGUAUAUCUACUUAAUGAAGCACAAGUCUGAAAAAUUUGAAAAGUUCAAAGAAUUUCGGAGUGAAGUGGAAAAUCAUCGUAACAAGAAAAUAAAGUUUCUACGAUCUGAUCGUGGAGGAGAAUAUUUGAGUUACGAGUUUGGUUUACAUUUGAAACAAUGCGGAAUAGUUUCGCAACUCACGCCACCCGGAACACCAUGACGAAAUGGUGUGUCCGAACGUCGUAAUCGUACUUUACUAGAUAUGGUGCGGUCUAUGAUGUUUCUUACUGAUUUACCGCUAUUGUUUUGGGGUUAUGCUUUAGAGACGGCCACAUUCACGUUAAAUAGGGCACCAUAAAAAUCCGUUGAGACGACGCCUUAUGAACUGUGGUUUGGCAAGAAACCAAAGUUGUCAUUUCUUAAAGUUUGGGGCUUCGAUGCUUAUGUGAAGAAACUUCAACCAGAUAAGCUCGAACCCAAAUCGGAGAAAUGUGUCUUCAUAGGAUACCCAAAAGAGACUAUUGGGUACACCUUCUAUCACAGAUCUGAGGGCAAGACUUUUGUUGCUAAAUUCGGAUCCUUUCUUGAGAAGGAGUUUCUCUCAAAAGAAGUGAGUGGGAGGAAAGUAGAACUUGAUGAGGUAACUGUACCUGCUUCCUUAUUGGAAAGUAGUUCAUCACAAGAACCGGUUCUUGUGACAACUGCACCAAUCAGUGAGGAAGCUAAUGAUAGUGAUCAUGAAACUUCAGAUCAAGUUAGUACCGAACCUCGUAGGUCAACCAGAGUAAGAUCCGCACCAGAGUGGUACGGUAAUCCUAUUCUGGAAGUCAUGUUACUUGACCAUGGCGAACCUACGAACUAUGAGGAAGCGAUGAUGAGCCCGGAUUCCGCAAAAUGGCUUGAGGCCAUGAAAUCUAAGAUGGGAUCCAUGUAUGAGAACAAAGUAUGGACUUUGGUUGACUUGCCCGAUGAUCGGCAAGCCAUCGAGAAUAAAUGGAUCUUCAAGAAGAAGACUGACGCUGAUGGUAAUGUAACUGUCUACAAAGCUCGACUUGUUGCGAAAGGUUUUCGACAAGUUCAAGGGGUUGACUACGAUGAGACUUUCUCACCCGUAGCGAUGCUUAAGUCUGUCCAAAUCAUGUUAGCAAUUGCCGCAUUUUAUGAUUAUGAAAUAUGGCAAAUGGAUGUCAAAACUGCAUUCCUGAAUGGAUUUCUGGAAGAAGAGUUGUAUAUGAUGCAACCGGAAGGUUUUAUCGAUUCACAAGGUGCUAACAAAGUGUGCAAGCUCUAGCGAUCCAUUUAUGGACUGGUGCAAGCCUCUCAGAGUUGGAAUAAACGCUUUGAUAGUGUGAUCAAAGAAUAUGGUUUUAUACAGACUUUUGGAGAAGCCUGUAUUUACUAGAAAGUGAGUGGGAGCUCUGUAGCAUUUCUGAUAUUAUAUGUGGACGACAUAUUGUUGAUCAGAAAUGAUGUAGAAUUUUUCUAGAAAGCAUAAGGAGUAUUUGAAAGGAGUUCUUUAAAAGAAAGACCCUGGUGAAGCUGCUUACACAUUGAGCAUCAAGAUCUAUAGAAAUAGAUCAAGACGCUUGAUAAGAUUUUUCAAUGAGUACAUACCUUGAUAAGAUUUUGAAGUAAUUCAAAAUGGAACAGUCAAAGAAGGAGUUCUUACCUGUGUUGCAAGGUGUGAAGUUGAGUAAGACUCAAAAACCCGACCAUGGCAGAAAAUAGAAAAGACUGAAAAGUCAUUCCCUAUGCCUCGGUCAUAGGUUCUAUAAAGUAUGCUAUGCUGUGUACCAGACCUAUUGUAUACCUUGCUCUGAGUUUGGUAAGGGAGUACAAUUUUGAUCUAGGAGUAGAUCAUUGGACAGUGGUCAAGAAUAUCCUUAGUGAGGACUAAGGAAAUAUUUCUCGGUUAUGGAGGUGAUAAAAGAGCCCAUUGUAAAGAGUUACAUCGGUGCAAGCUUUUACACCGAUCCAGAUGACUCUAAGUCUAAAUCUGGAUACAUAUUGAAAGUGGGAGCAAUUAGCUAGAGUAGCUCCGUGUAGAGCAUUGUAGACAUAGAAUAUUUGUAAGAUACAUAUGGCUUUGAAUGUGACAUACCCGUUGACUAAACUUCUCUCAGGAGCAAAACAUGAUCAUACCUUAGUACUCUUUGGGUGCUAAUCACAUAGCAAUGUGAACUAGAUUAAUUGACUCUAGUAAACCCUUUGGGUGUUGAUCACAUAACGAUGUGAACUAUGGGUAUUAAUCACAUACAGAUGUGAAUAUUGGUGUGAAAUCACAUGGCGAUGUGAACUAGAUUAUUGACUCUAGUGCAAGUGGGAUACUGAAGGAAAUAUGCCCUAGAGGCAAUAAUAAAGUUAUUAUUUAUUUCCUCAUAUCAUGAUAAAUGUUUAUUAUUCAUGCUAGAAUUGUAUUAACCGAAAACAUAAUACAUGUGUGAAUACAUAGACAAACUUAAUGUCACUAGUAUGCCUCUACUUGACUAGCUCAUUAAUCAAAGAUGGUUAUGUUUCCUAACCAUAGACAUGAGUUGUCAUUUGAUUAACGGGUUCACAUCAUUAGUAGAAUGAUGUGAUUGACAUGACCCAUUCCGUUAGCUUAGCACUUGAUCGUUUCCUAUGUUGCUAUUGCUUUCUUCAUGACUUAUACAUGUUCCUACAACUAUGAGAUUAUGCAACUCCCGUUUACCGGAGGAACACUUUGUGUGCUACCAAACGUCACAACAUAACUGGGUGAUUAUAAAGGAGCUCUAUAGGUGUAACGCCCCGGAUACAACUUUCCAUAUUCGUAACUCCAACUCUUGCCAUUUCCGGCUAUGUGAUAUGUUAUUUCCUUCGUGUUUGGGUUUUUGUCAUUUGUUUUGCUUUUUGUUCAUGUCUUGCAUUUCAUCUCAUAGCAUCAUGCGUAUUGCAUCUGCAUGUUUUCAUAAAGCUUGCAUCCGUUCGUAGUUGCCGCGUUUUCCCCUUGCUUGCGUUGACCGUUUUGAGACCAACCUUGUUUUUCGUUUCCCUUUUGUCCGACCACCUAACCUCUCUUGCCAGCUCGCAGCCCCCCUCGCGCGCGUCCGUAACUUGCCCCGAACCCGAACCGCUCGGUCAUGACCAACAGGUCCGGAUCAUCCCUAAACAUCCCUUUAUCAUCAUCGGUUUCUCGUUGGACUCUCCUAAGCUAUUUAUUCUCGUUCGUCCGAUUAAAAUCGGAGGGACCAAAUGCCCCUUCUAUUUACCUACUUGCUAUUUAAACAGAUCAACCCUAGAAACUAGGGAUCUUGUCCCAUCCUCAGCCGCCACCGCUCCUCCUCAGUUUCCACGCCCAACCAACCGGUGCCUCCCCUGGAUCUCGUCGUCCCACCAACCAGCGCAACCAUCGCCCUCCUCGAUCGUCCACGACCCCGAGCCACUUCUCCCGCCGGCAACCGAAGCAACCGGCCAGGAUCCCGUCGUCCUCCGGCAGCAACCAGGAGCUCAAGCUCCCUCUCUCGAUCCAUGGUGCCCUCGCCCCGAGCACGCAGGACCGCGCCCUUCCUCCCUGCUCUUCCUUGCCUUUCUCUAUUUCUUCUAUUUUCCCCGCUCAUCUCUCUCUGUUGCCUCCACAGGACACCAUGGCCAGCCUUUUCCUUCGAUCCGUCGCCGCGCCUUCGUCUCCUUCAAGCAGCAGCAGCGCCCUCAUGCCGAUCGCGGCCUCAUCGGCUCCGUAGCCAGCGACCAGAACCAGCAGGACAGCCGCGUCCCUCCUCUGUUUCCUUCUCCUCCUUCUACUUUCCCUGUUCCCUCUCUGAAUCUCUCUCUCCCUCUUUUCUUCAGGUAACAACAGUCGCCACUGCCCUCGUGGAGCUCCCACGCAGGACCUCGCCGUCGUUCCGCGCCAGAUCCGGCCGGGGACCGCUGGAUCUCGCCGCCUCCGCCAUGAAACCGUCCAUCCCCGACCUCCUGUGCGCGCUGCCGCUUCCCUAGAUCGCCUGAAGCCGCCCCGUGUCUCACCUCCUCUGUGUGUUUUACUCUGCAUCGAGCGGCGGCUCGGGAACAAGCACCCCGCCCCGCGUUGACCGCGCCAGCCCAGUAGCGCCAGGGCUUGCGAGGCCUCUCCACAAGCAGGCCUUAGCCCAUGGGCGAGCUGCCCCGCACCUGCCCUAUUCAGCCCCUGCUCCAGAUUCGGCCUGCAUGUAUUUUUUUUCCUGUCUGUGAAUUUGUCCAAUUAUCCAGUGAUUUACAGUUUUACGGAAAACCCCUUGUUCUUCAUGCAUUUAAUAACUCACAAACUGUGCAUUGGAUUAAAAUGUUUUAAACAUGGAAAAUGCUUAGAAUUUUGUGUAGAUUAAUAAUUUGCAACUUUCAUCCAUGUUAAAAAUGUUUAAAAUGAUGUUUGCAUUUAAUUUGCUAAAUGCCAUGCUAAAAUGUUUUAUUUCAUAACUAAAUAACCGUAGCUCGGUUUUAAAUAAACUUUAUAUGUAAAUGGGGUGGAAAAAUGCCCAGUUUAACAUGGUCCACUUUAUUUUCCUGUUUAACAACUUUAAAAUAUGUUUUAGGACAGAACAGUAGCUAAUUCAAAAUAUGCACAUGGGGAUUUUCCGGAAUUGUUGUUUGUUGUUCCGGCCUCAUUUAAACUGGCCUAGUUAGGUAGUUUCCUUAUGCUUCACCUCUUGCCAUGUUUAACAACAUUUAAUAUUGAUGAUUAGCAUAAACGAGAGUGAACUAAAUACUUGAAUGUGGUGUUUCGUCAAUAUGCAACUCGUUGCAUAUUGAGCUCCACUUAACUUGUGGUAUCGUUUGUUGCACUUUACCAUGCCAUGCCUAUUUAAACCGGACAUGCAUCAUACUUGAUUGUGCAUCAUGCCAUGAUUAUGCUUGUGCAUUUACCAUGUUGUUUCCUCCUUUCUGGUUUGCUUCUCUCGUUAGCUUCGGUUUCAUUCCGGAGUUGUGAGGAUUCGCUCGACUACGUCCGUUCAUCUUCUUCAUGGACUCGUUCUCCUUCCUUGCGGGAUUUCAGGCAAGAUGACCGUCACCCUGGAUCGCAUUACUAUCAUUGCUAUGCUAGUUGCUUCGUUCUAUCGCUAUGCUGUGCUACCUAUCAUUUGCUCUUCAAGCCUCCCAAUUUGCCAUGUCAGCCUCUAACCUUUUCACCUUUCCUAGCAAACCGUUGUUUGGCUAUGUUACCGCUUUGCUCAGCCCCUCUUAUAGCGUUGUUAGUUGCAGGUGAAGUUGAAGAUUGCUCCAUGGUGGACAUGAUUAUGUUGGGAUAUCACAAUAUCUCUUAUUUAAUUAAUGCAUCUAUAUACUUGGUAAAGGGUGGAAGACUCGGCCUUAUGCCUGGUGUUUUGUUCCACUCUUGCCGCCCUAGUUUCCGUCAUACCAGUGUUAUGUUCCCGGAUUUUGCGUUCCUAACGCGGUUGGGUGAUUUAUGGGACCCCCUUGAUAGUUCGCUUUGAAUAAAACUCCUCCAGCAAGGCCCAACCUUGGUUUUACCAUUUGCCUCACCUAGCCCUUUUUCCCUUGGGUUUCCGGAGCCCGAGGGUCAUCUUUAUUUUACCCCCCCGGGCCAGUGCUCCUCCGAGUGUUGGUCCAACCUGAGCGAUGUCCAGCGCCCCCUGGGCAACCAGGGUCUAUGCCAUCCCGACGUCUGGCUCAUCUGGUGUGCCCUGAGAACGAGAUAUGUGCAGCUCCUAUCGGGAUUUGUCGGCACAUCGGGUGGCUUUGCUGGUCUUGUUUUACCAUUGUCGAAAUGUCUUGUAAACCGGGAUUCCGAGACUGAUCGGGUCUUCCUGGGAGAAGGAAUAUCCUUCGUUGACCGUGAGAGCUUGUGAUGGGCUAAGUUGGGACACCCCUGCAGGGUAUUAUCUUUCGAAAGCCGUCCCCGCGGUUAUGUGGCAGAUGGGAAUUUGUUAAUGUCCGGUUGUAGAUAACUUGACACCAUAUCCGAAUUAAAACGCAUCAACCGUGUGUGUAGCCGUGAUGGUCUCUUUUAGGCGGAGUCCAGGAAGUGAACACGGUUUUGGGUUAUGUUUGACGUAAGUAGGAGUUCAGGAUCACCUGUUGAUCAUUGCUAACUUCAUGACCGUUCCGUUUGCUCUCUUCCCGCUCUUAUUUGCGUAUGUUAGCCACCAUAUAUGCUUAGACGCUGCUGCAACCUCACCACUUUACCCAUUCCUUUCCCAUUAAGCUUUGCUAGUCUUGAUACCCAUGGCAAUGGGAUUGCUGAGUCCUCGUGGCUCACAGAUUACUACAACAACAGUUGCAGGUAUAGGUUAUGCGAUGAUCAUGACACGAGAGCGAUGUUUACUUGUUUUGGAGUUCUUCUUCUGCUUCUUCUUCGAUCAGGGGAUAGGUUCCAGGUCGGCAGCCUGGGCUAGCAGGGUGGAUGUCGUUGAGUUUCUGUUUGUGUUCAUCCAUAGUCAGAUGUUGCUCUUAUGUAUUGUGAUGUUGUAUUCAUGUGGCAUUGUAUGCCUUAUGUAUGUAUCCCUAUCUAUUAUGUAAUGUUGAUGUAAUGAUAUCCACCUUGCAAAAGCGUUUCAAUAUGCGGGUCUAUCCUUGGUGGGACCUUCGAGUUCCUCUUGGAUAGGGUCGCAUAUUGGGCGUGACAAGUUGGUAUCAGAGCCUCGACCGACCAUAGGAGCCCCAUUUGUUGGCCGUUGUUGAGUCUAGAAAAAACUAUUUUGAGUCUUAGGAUUAUAUAUACAGGAGAGUAGGAUUCUUUUUACUCCUCAACCCCCUUCAUCGCUCUGGUGAGGACUCCUAACGUAGAUGUUUUGUCUUUCCUCGCCUCAGAUUUCACUAAUUUUUUUUAGGAUCACGCGGGUAUCUUGGGAUCAUUCUGAUAUGCUUAUGACGAGAACAUUGUUCUUGGUGCCUCCUGACAUUUAGGGGUUGUGGAAGUGUCCCGGGGAGUUGAGCUCCGAGGUGUUGUCGUCAUAAUUUUAUCGUUGCAGUUCUGGAAUACCUGAGUUUUGCCGACAUCGAAAAUCUCUUUUUAUGCAGUUGUUGGUGAGAUAACCUCGAUGUCACCCAGUACUGGGGAGUUCGGGAGUAUUGCCAUAGCUCGUAUAACGGAUGCUUUUCGAAGGUUGAGGUACACGAUUUCCGGAGUUUUCUUGGUUAUGUGUUGACGGAUGGAUACAGCUGGAUGUAGGGAUUGUUAGUUUGGGUGAGAUAUAUUGCUUCCCCUGUAUCCCCAACACCAGAUUGCAUAACCAGAAAGUUUCGGGAGUUUUAUAGGUGGGAAUUCAAGUAGCUCCUAGAAUAUCUUUCCGACAAAUGCAUGAUACGAGAUUGGGUCAAUCUCUAUCAUAUGUAUUUGUUCUGGCUUAUUCUGCAAGCCAAAUCCUUUGUUUUGUUUUAUUUGUGGUAUUCGAGUUGCUUCGAAGUCAAGUGUUGAUUCCAUACCUUUCCUAAACGGUGUUCUCAUAUUGCUAUGUGAAUACUAAUCCUUUUGAUCAUUGGGGUUGUCAUGCUAAUUCUUUUCCAACCGGUGUGCUUCUCUUCAAGUGGAUCCCAUCAUUUUUCCCAUCCGCAAGAUCAAUUCUAAGUUUUCUCAACGGUGUUUAUUUCAUCUGUCCCAAGUUGCCUGUGUUUUUCCCGCCCUCCCACCCUUUUUCUUCAAGGACUCAGAUAUCUUAAUCAUGUAUCCUUUUAUUUGAGAGAAGUCUCUUCAUUCUUUUCUUUCAAUGUUCUUAUCCGGUGAUUUCCCAUGAAGAUGCUCAACAGUUUCAAGUUCAUCAUCCUUCAUUGUUGUUUCUUCUCCGGUGGAUCCAAUUCAAGCUUUCGAUAUUCAUCAUAUUCCUUUCCUCGUUUUCUAAUGCUUUCUCAUGCCGAUGCACCUCUUAAUCAUUCACUUCUUCCUAUUCAUUUGUUCUAGAGUGCUGAAGAUAUCUCACAAGACUUGUGUUUCCAUUCUUAAUCUGCUCAAUAUAUUUCGAGGUUGUUAUCUCAUUCAAGCCAUUUAAUUCAACCGGUGCAACCUCUCUUUAAAAUUGUUCAACGGUGUUUCCUUUUGAGUGGGCCCUAACCCACAGGUCUUUUCCCAGGAUCCUACCUGACUCUUCCUAUUUUCCCGGAGCUAUUCCCAAAUUCUUUUCCAAGUUUGACGUAAGAAUGAAUUAUCAUCAGUCAUAUUCCUUCUUCAAGAUCGCUUUUAAAACAUUUUCAUCGUUGGUUCAACAUUUCUAUUCUUCUUUGCUCCGGAGUGUCUCAUAAAUUGUCAUGGUGGUUCUCAUCUUCAUUCUCAACAUUUGAAGACCGAAGAAGUGUUUCCUCUAAAUCUUGUCCCUUCUCUCGAAGAUUCAUGGCUCUCUUAAAUUCUUUUCACCCAUCCGGAGCAAUUCAAGAGUCCUUUCAGAUUCAUUCUCCGUAGCCCAUCAUCUCAGAAUUAUUCAGUCUCAGCUUUCAACUCUCGUUCUCGAAUUCUUCCGAUGCAUCGUUCAAAUACCCUUUAACCAGUUCAUGAUCUCUUUGUUCUCAUGUAUCUAAAUCCCCUCAAGUAUCUUCAUUCAUUUUCCAAUUCUUCCCGGUGAAUUGUGCCUUUGCUACUUUCAUUUUCAAUUCUUACAGUGGUUCAUUCAAGAUUUCACUUCCUUCGUUAUCAUAUCAAAUAUUUGUUGUUUCCAAAUCACACCAGUGGUUCCAUCAAUACCUUCUCAAGUUUGUGGUAUAUCUCUCUUAAUCUUUUCUACGGGAAUAAGUAGUAUGCCAAAUCCGUUUCUUGUCAUCAACUUAAAUUGAUGAAGGAUACGCAUAACAUAAUUCUUAUUAUUGUUUCAUCCAAGUGUUUAAUUCUUUUCUACCGAAGUUUGUCCGUGACAUCAAUUUCUCAGUUAUAUGUUGUUCAUCUUUCUUCCGGAGUUCCAAGUUUUUUCGCAUUAUCGUCGCGAAGCUCCAUCUAAAUCAUUGCAAGGCUUCACCUUGUGUUUUCAACUUCUCUUUCUUUUUAUCAUCCUUCUAUUACCGGAGUUCUUCAUGGAGGCUCUACAUGGUGGUUCGUCAAGGAUUCUUUUCAUUCUUCAAUUGUUCUUCAAGAUUUCUCUUGAAGUUAAGAUCAGCCAAGCUAUACUCAAAAUUAAACAUGGUGCUCAACACAUGUUUUGUUUUGUGGAGUUCAAGCAUUCUUCAUCUUGCAUCCGAAGCGCAAUUCUUUCUAUCUUAUCUUUUGAGGUGGUGUUAUGUCACUCUUGACAAUUUCCCUUCGCGAUUCACAUGUUGCCAAGAAUGAGGUAUUUUAAAUCCAUGAAUCUCUUCUUUGGAGUUAUCUUGGUAUAGAUUUCACCUAAAGCCUUCCCUAAGGAAUGUUGCUAUUUGUGGUGCUUAUCAAUGAUCCGAGUUUCUCCUAUCCUCUCGGCGAAAGAAGUUUUCAUCUCUUCCUUGAUAUCAAACAAGCAAUUGUUUUUUGUUAGUGGCAGAAUUUCACCUCUUAGUCUUGGGAUGUUUUCCAUAAGCCCACUACAAGCUUAUUCGUUUCGUUGUUGGUUUUCCAACAACUCCGUUCUAGCAUUUCUUGUAAGCGUGUUCUUUCAAGAUCUUGUUUCUCUCCGUUCAUUCCAUUCCAUUCUUUCAUUUCUUCUGGAGGCAUUGUGAUGUUGCUCUCGUUGACCCAUCAUCUCGUUUUGUCAAGAUCAUGUUAUUUUCCUUCCUUAUCCAUUUAACCGGAGUGUUGUGUUCUCAUUCAAGUUCUUUCAACUUGUCAAGUUUUGCCUCUCUUUUCAACCGGACUGUUGUCUAAAAUCCUUCUUACACCUUGUGCCAUUGUUUCAAUAGUUCCGGAGGCAGUGUGUUGUUGAUUUCAUCAAAUAUCAUCCCAUCUUCUCAAGUUCAUGUUCAAUUCCUUCCAUUUACAGUCGGAGUGCUGCCAAAAUUAUAUCAAUCUUAUUCCUUCUCUAUCUAGUUUUAACUGGAGUGGUUUCAAUAUCUAUUUUAUCACUAAACCUCUUGGUUCUCGUCGUAUCCCUUGUUCCUUUUUCUCAUGGAGUGUUUUCAACUUUGCUCAUCUUCGUUGUUUUCUUUCUUUCAGUUUGCUCAACAUCUCAAGGUUCAUGGUUUCACUCGUUUGUCGAAAAAGCAACUUAGUUUACCUCUUAUCUUCCUCUUCCUUUUCCCUCCGGUGCCAUCCUAGAUCUCGGGACGAGCUCCUCUUGUAGUGGUGGAGUGUUGUAACGCCCCGGAUACAACUUUCCAUAUUCGUAACUCCAACUCUUGCCAUUUCUAGCUAUGUGAUAUGUUAUUUCCUUCGUGUUUGGGUUUUUGUCGUUUGUUUUGCUUUUUGUUCAUGUCUUGCAUUUAAUCUCAUAGCAUCAUGCGCAUUGCAUCUGCAUGUUUUCAUAAAGCUUGCAUCCGUUCGUAGUUGCCGCGUUUUCCCCUUGCUUGCGUUGACCGUUCUGAGACCAACCUUGUUUUCAUUUCCCAUUUGUCCGACCACCUAACCUCUCUUGCCAGCUUGUAGCCCCCCUCGCGCACGUCCGAAACUUGCCCCGAACCCGAACCGCUCGGUCAUGACCAACAGGUCCGGAUCAUCCCUAAACAUCCCUUUAUCAUCAUCGGUUUCUCGUUGGACUCUCCUAAGCUAUUUAUUCUCGUUCGUCCGAUUAAAAUCGGAGGGACCAAAUGCCCCUUCUAUUUACCUACUUGCUAUUUAAACAGAUCAACCCUAGAAACUAGGGAUCUUAUCCCAUCCUCAGCCGCCACCGCUCCUCCUCAGUUUCCACGCCCAACCAACUGGUGCCUCCCCUGGAUCUCGUCGUCCCACCAACCAGCGCAACCAUCGCCCUCCUCGAUCGUCCAUGACCCCGAGCCACUUCUCUCGCCGGCAACCGAAGCAACCGACAAGGAUCCCAUCGUCCUCCGGCAGCAACCAGGAGCUCAAGCUCCCUCUCUCGAUCCAUGGCGCCCUCGCCCCGAGCACGCAGGACCGCGCCCUUCCUCCCUGCUCUUCCUUCCCUUUCUGUAUUUCUUCUCUUUUCCCCGCUCAUCUCUCUCUGUUGCCUCCACAGGACACCAUGGCCAGCCUUUUCCUUCGAUCUGUCGCCGCGCCUUCGUCUCCUUCAAGCAGCAGCAGCGCCCUCAUGCCGAUUGCGGCCUCAUCGGCUCCGUAGCCGGCGACCAGAACCAGCAGGACAGCCGCGUCCCUCCUCUGUUUCCUUCUCCUCCUUCUCCUUUCCAUGUUCCCUCUCUGAAUCUCUCUCUCCCUCUUUUCUUCAGGUAACAGCAGUUGCCACUUCCCUCAUGGAGCUCCCACGCAGGACCUCGCCGUCGUUCCGCGCCAGAUCCGGCCGGGGACCGCUGGAUCUCGCCGCCUCCGCCAUGAACCCGUCCAUCCCCGACCUCCUGUGCACGCCGCCACUUCCCUGGAUCGCCUGAAGCUGCCCCAUGUCUCGCCUCCUCUGUGUGUUUUCCUCUACAUCGAGCGGCGGCUCGGGAAUGAGCACCCCGCCCCGCGUUGACCGCGCCAGCCCAGUAGUGCCAGGGCUUGCGAGGCCUCUCCACAAGCCGUGACUUAGCCCAUGGGUGAGCUGCCCUGUUCAGCCCCUGCUCCAGAUUCGGCCUGCAUGUAUUUUUUUCCCUGUCUGUGAAUUUGUCCAAUUAUCCAGUGAUUUACAGUUUUACAAAAAAACCCCUGUUCUUCAUGCAUUUAAUAACUCACAAACCGUGCAUCGGAUUAAAAUGUUUUAAACAUGUAAAAUGCUUAGAAUUUUAUGUAGAUUAAUAAUUUGCAACUUUAAUCCAUGUUAAAAAUGUUUAAAAUGAUGUUUACAUUUAAUUUGCUAAAUGCCAUGCUAAAAUGUUUUAUUUCAUAACUAAAUAACCGUAGCUCGGUUUUAAAUAAACUUUAUAUGUAAAUGGGGUGGAAAAAAUUCCUAGUUUAACAUGGUCCACUUUAUUUUCCUAUUUAACAACUUUAAAAUAUGUUUUAGGACAGAACAGUAGCUAAUUCAAAAUAUGCACAUGGGGAUUUUCCGGAAUUGUUGUUUGUUGUUCUGGCCUCAUUUAAACUGGCCUAGUUAGGUAGUUUCCUUAUGCUUCACCUCUUGACAUGUUUAACAACAUUUAAUAUUGAUGAGUAGCAUAAACGAGAGUGAACUAAAUACUUGAAUGUGGUGUUUCGUCAAUAUGCAACUCGUUGCAUAUUGAGGUCCACUUAACUUGUGGUAUCGUUUGUUGCACUUUGCCAUGCCAUGCCUAUUUAAACCGGACAUGCAUCAUACUUGAUUGUGCAUCAUGCCUUGAUUAUGCUUGUGCAUUUACCAUGUUGUUUCCUCCUUUCCGGUUUGCUUCUCUCGUUAGCUUCGGUUUCGUUCCGGAGUUGUGAGGAUUCGUUCGACUACGUCCGUUCGUCUUCUUCAUGGACUCGUUCUCCUUCCUUGCAGGAUUUCAGGCAAGAUGACCGUCACCCUGGAUCGCAUUACUAUCAUUGCUAUGCUAGUUGCUUCGUUCUAUCGCUAUGCUGCGCUACCUAUCAUUUGCUCUUCAAGCCUCCCAAUUUGCCAUGUCAGCCUCUAACCUUUUUCACCUUUCCUAGCAAACCGUUGUCUGGCUAUGUUACCGCUUUGCUCAGCCCCUCUUAUAGCGUUGUUAGUUGCAGGUGAAGUUGAAGAUUGCUCCAUGGUGGACAGGAUUAUGUUGGGAUAUCACAAUAUCUCUUAUUUAAUUAAUGCAUCUAUAUACUUGGUAAUGGGUGGAAGACUCGGCCUUAUGCCUGGUGUUUUGUUCCACUCUUGCCGCCCUAGUUUCCGUCAUACCGGUGUUAUGUUCCCGGAUUUUGCGUUCCUAACGCGGUUGGGUGAUUUAUGGGACCCCCUUGACAGUUCGCUUUGAAUAAAACUCCUCCAGCAAGGCCCAACCUUGGUUUUACCAUUUGCCUCACCACUACCUAUAUUUCCCUUGGGAGUAAUUAACCCAAGGGUCAUCUUUAUUUUAGCCCCCCCCCCNNNNNNNNNNNNNNNNNNNNNNNNNNNNNNNNNNNNNNNNNNNNNNNNNNNNNNNNNNNNNNNNNNNNNNNNNNNNNNNNNNNNNNNNNNNNNNNNNNNNNNNNNNNNNNNNNNNNNNNNNNNNNNNNNNNNNNNNNNNNNNNNNNNNNNNNNNNNNNNNNNNNNNNNNNNNNNNNNNNNNNNNNNNNNNNNNNNNNNNNNNNNNNNNNNNNNNNNNNNNNNNNNNNNNNNNNNNNNNNNNNNNNNNNNNNNNNNNNNNNNAGUGCUCCUUCGAGUGUUGGUCCAACCUGAGUGAUGUCCGGCGCCCCCUGGGUAACCAGGGUCUAUGCCAACCCGACGUCUGGCUCAUCUGGUGUGCCCUGAGAAUGAGAUGUGUGCAGCUCCUAUCGGGAUUUGUCGGCACAUCGGGCGGCUUUGCUGGUCUUGUUUUACCAUUGUCGAAAUGUCUUGUAAACCAGGAUUCCGAGACUGAUCGGGUCUUCCUGGGAGAAGGAAUAUCCUUCGUUGACCGUGAGAGCUUGUGAUGGGCUAAGUUGGGACACCCCUGCAGGGUAUUAUCUUUCGAAAGUCGUGCCCGUGGUUAUGUGGCAGAUGGGAAUUUGUUAAUGUCCGGUUGUAGAUAACUUGACACCAUAUCCGAAUUAAAACGCAUCAACCGUGUGUGUAGCCGUGAUGGUCUCUUUUCGGCGGAGUCCGGGAAGUGAACACGGUUUUGGGUUAUGUUUGACGUAAGUAGGAGUUCAGGAUCACCUGUUGAUCAUUGCUAGCUUCACGACCGUUCCAUUUGCUCUCUUCCCGCUCUUAUUUGCGUAUGUUAGCCACCAUAUAUGCUUAGACGCUGCUGCAACUUCACCACUUUACCCCUUCCUUUCCCAUUAAGCUUUGCUAGUCUUGAUACCCAUGGCAAUGGGAUUGCUGAGUCCUCGUGGCUCACAGAUUACUACAACAACAGUUGCAGGUACAGGUUAUGCAAUGAUCAUGACACGAGAGCGAUGUUUACUUGUUUUGGAGUUGUUCUUCUGCUUCUUCUUCGAUCAGGGGAUAGGUUCCAGGUCGGCAGCCUAGGCUAGCAGGGUGGAUGUCGUUGAGUUUCUGUUUGUGUUCAUCCGUAGUCGGAUGUUGCUCUUAUGUAUUGUGAUGUUGUAUUCAUGUGGCAUUGUAUGCCUUAUGUAUGUAUCCCUGUCUAUUAUGUAAUGUUGAUGUAAUGAUAUCCACCUUGCAAAAGCAUUUCAAUAUGCGGGUCUAUCCUUGGUGGGACCUUCGAGUUCCUCUUGGAUAGGGUCGCAUAUUGGUCGUGACAACAGGUGUCUCCAAAGGUACAUGUUGAGUUGGCAUAUUUCAAGAUUAGGUUUUGUCACUCCGGUUGUUGGAGAGGUAUCUCUGGCCCUCUCGGUAAAUGCACAUCACUAUAAGCCUUGUAAGCAAUGAAGAUAAUGAGUUAGUUACAGAAUAAUGCAUUACAUAACGAGUAAAGAGACUUGCCGGUAACGAGAUUGAACUAGGUAUUGAGAUACCGACGAUCGAAUCUCGGGCAAGUAACAUACCGAUGACAAAGGAAACAACGUAUGUUGUUAUGCGGUUUGACCGAUAAAGAUCUUCGUAGAAUAUGUAGGAGCCAAUAUGAGCAUCCAGGUUCUGCUAUUGGUUAUUGACCGGAAACGUGUCUCGGUCAUGUCGACAUAGUUCUCGAACCCAUAGGGUCCGCACGCUUAAGGUUUCGAUGACAGUUAUAUUAUGAGUUUAUGUGUUUUGAUGUACCGAAGGAGUUCGUAGUCCCGGGUGAGAUCGGGGACAUGACGAGGAGUCUCGAAAUGGUUGAGACGUAAAGAUCGAUAUAUUGGACGACUAUAUUCGGACAUCGGAAGGGUUCCGAGUGAUUCGGGUAUUUUUCGGAGUACCGAGGAGUUACGGGAAUACAGGGGAAGAAGUAUAUGGGCCUUAUUGGGCUUUAGGGGAAAGAGGGAGGCAGGCCGCGCCCCCCCAAUGACUAGUCCGAAUUGGACUAGGGGGAGGGGCGGCGCCCCCUCCUUCCUUCUCUUCCUUCUCCUUCUUCCUUGUCUGCUACUUCUACUACAUGGAAGGGGAGAAAUCCUACUCCCAGUGGGAGUAGGGCUCCUCCAGGGCGCGCCAUAGGGGCCGACCCUCUCCCCCUCCUCCACUCCUUUAUAUACGGGGGCAGGGGGUCACCUGUAGACACAAUAAUUGAUCAUUGAUCUCUUAGCCGUGUGCGGUGCCCCCCUCCACCAUAGUCCUCCUCGAUAAUAUCAUAGCAGUGCUUAGGCGAAGCCCUGCGACGGUAGAACAUCAUCAUCGUCACCACGCCGUCGUGCUGACGGAGCUCUCCCUCGACACUCGGCUGGAUCGGAGUUCAAGGGACGUCAUCGAGCUGAUAGUGUGCAAGAACUCGGAGGUGCCAUGCUUUCGGUGCUUGAUCGGUCGGGCCGUGAAGACGUACGACUACAUCAACUGCAUUGUGCUAACGCUUCCGCUUACGGUCUAUGAGGGUACGUAGACAACACUCUCCCCUCUCGUUGCUAUGCAUCACCAUGAUCUUGCGUGUGCGUAGGAAUUUUUUUUGAAAUUACUAUGUUCCCCAACAAAAACAUACUUCUAUUUUAUUCUUGGCCUCUACCUUGGCAGUGUCCAUCUCUGUGAUGACCUUGACAACGUCUUCCAACUCAACCCGGGUUGCGGUUUCAUCGUAGUCAUGUGUGGAGUAUCCGAUAGAAGAGGAGGAAGCUGCGCCGACGCGGGUGGACAAAGUUAUCAUACGAGAGAGGAUACAAUAGGGGCUCGACACCAUAGUGUCAGCAACAGGGUGGGUGUCAUCCAUCUUCGCACAUGUUGCAAUGUCAUCGAAGUUACAACAAGGUGGGGCACAGGAGGAGGAAGCCUGCGGGGGUUAACCAUGUGGUUGCACGGGGAGGGGGAUCAGGACGAGGUUAGAGUAGUAACAUGAAGAGACGGAGGCAACUCUGGGUCUGAAAGGAGCAUAAAAGAGGUAAAGGGAGCGAGGUGAGAGGUUUUCAUGGGCAACAUACGAGCGAAUAGAAAACAUGGUGGUCACACACGUGGUGGGAAUCAGGCCUUCGGGGAAAUAUGGUAGGAUUCAUCAUAAACCAUGGGCCCUAUGAAGCUAAAACUUCUCUCUUUCAGCCCGCUAUUAAACAAGGGGGCUCGGUGGAGCUGAACUUCUCCCUAGCCAUCGAGUCCCUAGUUUUGAGAGCUUUCUAACCCCUCCUCCCGGCACUAAAUAUGAAUGCUAUCGUACAAUGUAUUUUAUAUAUCUUUUAGGGAUAGAAGGUGCUAUAGGAAGUUUACUGGAGUGGUUUUCCCCUUACCAUUCAUAUUGGUAAUUUCUAAGGGAGGAUCUCUUUAUGGAAUCUAGUAGAUUUGCUGUUAUAAUUUCUUGGAUCUCUUACCUUCAAAGCUCCAAACCAAUGUGCUAAGAGUUCUCUCUUAUUGUCAUAGUGAUAUCAUUCGCUAUGGAAAGUCCUGGGUGGCCACGUCUAUGUAUGACCACCAAUAAUCCUUCAUAAGGAGUGGUUGAUGAGAUCUCAUGACUCGAUUCCAUCACUCAAAUUAUGUGGAUUGUGAAUGAUGAAUUCAACAUUGUCAUGAAAACGAAGGAUAACAGUUAACGUCGCGUCAUUUGACGGAUGAUGAACAAGUUUAGGUUGUUAGAAUUAAUCUGGUCAUUGUCUUAAACACAUGUGUAUUAUAUAUGCGUCCAUGUCAAAUAGGAAUAGCUAGUGGACACUUCCUAAAGCUUUUAAUCUAGCUAAAUCAUGGUUGCAUGGUAGUAAGAGCAGUCAAAAUGGAAUGGAAGUAUUACUGCAAGUUGUCGUUGUUAGUAAGAAAGUGUUGCAAUAGGCAGUUGUAGAUGCAAAGUUGGAGUUCGGAUUGACUUUACAAAUCUAGUAUGCAAGGAUGCUAUCCAGGCAUGAGUUUUCAUGAGUAAACAACACACCAUGCUAAGGUUGGUUUGCGAAAGAAUAUAAUCAGGCAUGCACAUCAUCAUUUGUCAAGCAGGCUUAUAGUGCAUCAAAAAUAGAAUUGACUGUGCAAGGUAGCAAAUCAACAAAGCAACUUGUGUACUUGUGCGAGCCGUGUGUGUGUGUGUGUGAGUGAGUGAGUGUGUGUGUGUGUGAGAGAGAGAGAGAGAGAUGAGGAGGAGGUGCCUGAUUCAAUUAAGCUUCAGAGCUAGAGUUGUGUGGGUGUCGUUGAGAGUGUGUGAAGAACACAUCUUAAGGAGUUGAGUGAGUCAACAUUAACAUUUGGUAUCAGAGCUAGGUAAUUAUGAAGAUGAUGUCAUGUGACGUCGUACCGAGUGGAUCCGCGGUGACCAAUGGCUUAGGAAACCCAACGACGAUAGCGACAACAACAAUGGGUAAGAUUACGUUCUCACAACUAACAAUGCUGAACUACAUGGUUUGGGCAAUGAGGAUGGCGUACCUUAUGCGAGGAAACAAUGCAUGGGGGGUGUUGUUGAUCGGGAUAGCUUGUCCAAGGCAGUUGAUGAGAGCAAGGAGGAGUUGACCUUGACAAUCAUCACCCAUUUGAUCGAUGACACGUCGCUUCUACAUGUUGUAGGGAAGGAGACACAUCUAAUGUGUGGGUGGUGCUAUGCUCCAUGCAUGUGGGCACCAAGUGUGUAUGGGAGGUAAGGAUCCGGUCCUUGCGCUCAAAUUUGAUAACAUAAAGAUGGCUUAUGGAGACUCCAUGAAUGAUUUUGCGGUGAAAUUGUUGACGCUUGUUGGGCAUAUAUGUGAACUUUUAUAACCGAUAGAUGAUAAGUACGUCAUCAAGAAGGUUCUAUUUAGUGGAGUCAGCAGUUGACCCCGAAGGAGGCCAUUGGGUCCUCAAUGCAUACUAUAUUCAUGCAUGUCGGACAAGAGUAGGCAGUACAACUUGCUCGAAGCUUCUAGUCAAGCUAUAUCAUAGCUGCAUGGCGGUAACAACAGUCAAAAGGGAAAGAAAGUUUGACUACUAGUUUCUUACGAGCAAUAAAGUGUUGCGACAACCAAAUGAUGUGAGAGGGGAGCUCCUCAAGGGGAUGGAUAUGAGAGGUCUAAAAUAAAUGAUGUGAGGGGAGUUCAGGUGAGUAGACGCUUGGCGUUGUGAUGCAGUUAGGGAUUAUGCACAAACGAUAGUGGCGUGAUACCAUUGUCAUAUGAAGCGUUAAUUUGAGACAAAAAAGGCGGUGGUGUGGAACCAUCGUUAGGCAAGGUCGACGUGAUGCCGAAGAGGUGUGAUACUAUUGUCAUAAGAAGUAUCAGUGUGAUGACGACAGAAAGUAGGUGUGAAGCCGACAAUGAUAGUGUGAUUCCAUCAAUAUAUGGAGUCAGUGUGAGGUUGACAAGCACAAUGUGAUGCUUUUUCUAGACAUGUUGUGGUGGGAAGCCGUCACAAGGUGAGUCACAUGAUGGAGGCGAUCUACAUGAUUAUAAGAUGUUGAUAUGAUAAGAUUAAGGUGGAAAUUUUAAAAUUAAUCUUGUCAUUAUCCUAAAAAUUUGCACAUUAUAUAUUCAUGCAUGUCAGACAUGAGUAGCUAGUACAACUUGCCCAAAACUUGUCAUCAAGUUGUAUCAUAGCUGCAUGGCAGUAACAAUAGUCAAAAGGGAAAGUAAAAGCAAAGUUGGGGUUUGCAUUAGUUCUAAAAUCUAGUGUGCGAGGAAGCUAUUUAAGCAUGCAUGAGUAAACAACUCGCCAUGGUUAGGUCGGUUUGUAAAAGCCUACAAAUAGGCAUGCACGUAGCCAUUUGGAGAGAGAGAGAGAGAGAGAGAGAGAGAGAGAGAGAGAGAGAGAUUUACCUAAGUUUUAAGGUUAGUGUUAUGUGUGUGUGUUUGAAAGUGCGUGAAGCACAUCUCAAGGAGUUGAGUGAUUCAAGUCCAACACAAGCAUGUUAUGCCAAUUUGUUAUGUUUAUCGCUUCAUCUAUGUUGGGUGGCCAUAUAUGGCUUCACUGCCGUACUUAUGAGUGUCAUGGUUUGAAUUAAUCUGAUGCAUCAUGGUUUAAAAUGCACUUUUAACACAAAACAAAUGCUGAUGCUAACGUACACACACAUAUACUCAACCCCAUGAACAAACAUAUGCACAUGAGCACUACAUCUUGAGAUUGGCGAAGUCACCACAAACGCUUUUGUAGUCAACGGGAACGUCUCCUCCCACUGGAUGCACGUCAUGAGAAGGCCUAAAAUAAAUCCAUGAAAAUGCGACCACCGGUGCCAAGUGUAGUACUUGAACCCUAGUGGGUUUUUCCAUCACAAGAAAUCUAACCACCCGCGGUACACUCUUUUGUAUGCAAAAGAUGGUGAGAAUUAGCAAAGAAAAAUUCAUUAAAAGUUUGAUUUAGAAGUUACGACAUCUCACAAUCUUUCAUAAGGAUUAUAGAAGGUUAUAAGGUAAACCCCAUUUGGUGCCCACUUCAUCAAAUAACGGGCAAAUCACACACGAAGCGCUCGUUGCAUCAAAUAGCAAGCAAAUCACACAUGGAGGGCAUCGACGUAUCGGGCCCAUUAACAUUUCACUUGUUUUCCUAUAAAGUAUUUUUCGGGUUUCUUCGUCUCUUUUCCUUUGCGUUUUUCUUUCAUUUUCUAAUUUGUAUGUUUUGGUUGAUUCUUUCGUUUCCAUCAAUUCUUUUUCUUUCAUUUUUUGUUUCAUUUUCUCCCCCUUUUUGUUUUUUUGACAUUUUUUGUGAAAAUAUGAAAAAAUUCACAAAUAUAAAAAGUUCGCACUUUUAAAGUAUUUGUUUUUUUAGAAAAUUUGUGAAAUUUUAAAAAUUCUUCACUUAUUUUUAAAAAAUUCACAAAUAUGAAAAAUAUUCACACAUUAAAAAAAUGAAGGAAAUAAAAAACAAAAACCCAACUAAAAAAAGAUAAAGUCAAAAAAUUAGAGAAAAGCCCCCGUAGAAUGUGUUACUCCAGAACCGAAAACAAUGAAUUGGAUCGACCUAUAGCAAACGCGUGUGUGUGUUUCCCCACCAAUUUGACGCACAAUGCAUCAUAUAUAAUUUCUUUGAUGGGUUGGUUUAGAGGAUGGGCCACUUCACAUGAAAUUGAAACCGGGCUAACAACGCCUACAUGCACCCUGGACAAGGGGCGAGAGAAACCUAGGGUUUAAGACACACACACACACACACACACACAGAGAGAGAGAGAGAGAGAUUCAGCUAAGUUUUAGGGCUAGUGUUAUGUGGGUGUCUUUGAAAGUGUGUGAAGCAAGGAGUUGAAGGAUUCAAAUCCAACACAGGCAUGUUAUGUCAAUUAAUUAUGUUUACCGCUUCAUCUAUAUUUGGUGGCCAUAUAUGGCUUCACUAUUUAGUACCAAUACUUGUGUGAAUUUGUUGGUAUCAUGGUUUGAAUUAAUCUGAUGCAUCAUGUUGUAAAUGCAAUUGAAGAUGGAGGUUUGUAUGCAAAAGAUGGUGAGAAUUAGCAAAGAAAAAAUCAUUAAAAGUUUGAUUUAGGAGAUACUCAGUUUACAACUUUCUUAAGGAUUAUGGAAGGUUAUAAGGUAAUAAAUACUGGCAAACCCUGUUUGGCGCUCAUUGCAUCAAGUACCGGGCAAAUCACAUAAGGAGCGGUCAUUACAUCAAAUAGCGGGCAAUUCACACAUGGAGGGCAUUGGCAGACCGAGCCCAUUAACAUUUUAUCCUAUAAGUUUUUUUUUCAGGUUUCUUUGUCUCUUUCUAUUUUUUCCUAUGCAAUUUCCUUUUAGGUUUUCUUUGGAUUAGUAUGUUUUGGAAUUUUGGUUUUCUAGUUUCCAUUAAUUCUUAUUUUAUUUUACUAUUUAUUGUUUAUUCCCUUUUUACAUUUAACAUAUUUUAUGGAAAUAUGGCACUUUUAAAAUAUCAUUGUUUUUUUAUAAAAUUAAUGAAAUUUGAAAAGCUGUUCACUAAUUUUAAAAUUAUUCACGAAUCUGAAAAGUAUCCACACAUUAGAAAUGAUGGAAACAGAAAAACCAAACAAAAAUCAAGAAAACGAGAUAAAGGAAAAAACCGGAGAAAAGCGUCCGUAGAGUGUGUCACGCCAUAACCAAAAACAAUGAAAUGGGCCGGUCUAUAGCAAGAGGGUGUGUGUUUCCCCACCAAUUUGAUGCAGAACACAUCAUAUAUAAUUGUUUUAGAGGAUGGGUUGCUUCACAAGAAACUAAAACCUUGUUCGGGCUGUCAAUGCCUACAUGCACCGCGGAGCGGUCAUUACAUGAAAUAGUGGGAAAUCACACAUGAAGGGCAUUGGCGGACCGAGCCCAUUAAAAUUUCACUUUUUUUCCCUAUAAGGUAUUUUUUAAGGUUUCUUCAUCUCUUUUCAUUUUGUUUUCCUUUUAAGUUUUUUUUUGGAUUAGUAUGUUUUGGAUAUUUGCUUUUCUAGUUUCCAUUAAUUCUUGUUUUAUUUUAUUUUCAUUCCCUUUUUACAUUUAACAGAUUUUAUGGAAAUAUGACACUUUUAAAAUAUCCAUGUUUUUUUAUAAAAUUCGUGAAAUUUGUAAAAAAAAUCACUAAUUUUCUAAUUAUUCACGAAUCCGAAAAAUAUCUACACAUUAAAAAUGAUGGAAACCAAAAACCAAUCAAAAAUUAAGAAAACGAGAUGAAGGACUUUUUUUUGGAGAAAAGCGUUCCUAGAGUCCAUCACACUAUAACCGAAAACAAUGAAAUGGGCCGGCCUAUAGCAAGACAGGAUGCUUUUCCCACCAAUUUGAACAUAUCAUAUAGAAUUUGUUUUAGAGGGUGGGUCGCUUGACAUGAAAUUAAAACCCUUCUUCGGGCUGGCAGCGCCUACAUGCACCGUGGAUAAGGGGNNNNNNNNNNNNNNNNNNNNNNNNNNNNNNNNNNNNNNNNNNNNNNNNNNNNNNNNNNNNNNNNNNNNNNNNNNNNNNNNNNNNNNNNNNNNNNNNNNNNNNNNNNNNNNNNNNNNNNNNNNNNNNNNNNNNNNNNNNNNNNNNNNNNNNNNNNNNNNNNNNNNNNNNNNNNNNNNNNNNNNNNNNNNNNNNNNNNNNNNNNNNNNNGAGGGAGGGAGGGAGAGGGAGGGGAGAGAGGGGAAGGGGGAGAUGGAGAGGGAGAGGGCGUGGGAAAGAAAGAGAGGGAGGGAGAGGGAGAGCGAGAGAUUUAUCAGGUCCCCUCGCCUUCGGCUGCCAUCUUGGCAUUCAGAGGUCAAGGGACUUCAGAUCUGAGAGAUUUGUGGUCACAUUGUUGCUUUUUCGAAUAUAUUUUCUCUCUCUACCAUGGUGGUGCUUUGGAGGCAGAGAUGUCUCCAUCCUCGCAAAUCCGUUUAUUCAGAUAUGAUGAGUUUCUGUUAUUGUGUCUUAUGUUUUUUUUUGAGUUUGUUUGAUUCUUUGCAGUGCCGAAAUAUUUUGUUGAUGCUAUGUUGAAGACAUCGUGGUUCUACAACCUGCACUUAUAGGGAUUGUUCUUGGCCCAUGUCUGUCAUCGAUUAUGACUUCCCCUCUAUUUGGAUGGGCGACUCAAGAGGUUUUCAGAAACUAUUGGUAAUCAAGUUUGUGCGCAUGAACGAGUGACAGUUUUGAUGCUCUGUCCCAAUCACAAUCUCAUUGAUGUCCUAGAAUUAUCUCAUCUUGUAAAGAUUGAUACCAUGGAGAAAAUAUUUUAAUACAUUUAUUUGUAAUAUUAUAGGAACUACUUUGUAUUUUCUGAGACCAUUUAUCGAGAGCAUUAAUUCUACUAUUAAAGGGGAGUUGGUAGGUUCGUCUCACCUCCUCUCUCGAUUUAUCCUCCCCACGCCCCCUACCUCAUUUGGUUUUCUAUUGUUUUUUGGGUAGUCUCAACCAAUGUCGCACAAAAUAAAAAAAAAC
rnacentral:lncRNA from 1 species